rnacentral:lncRNA from 1 species
UGAGUGAGAAAUUCUUGAUCUUCUUCCUCUUGAAUUUCUUCUUUGUCUUCUUCAAGGGGCUUUUUGAGGCAAGAGCGUGGUAGCCGAUGCCUUGUUCUUGGGCUUCUCUGGCUUUGCUAUGGCUGCAAUUGAGAAAAUUGGUAUCCAUAAAUAAAUCCAUAAAUAAACCUAUUAAACAAUGAUCCAACCUCUCACAUAUUUAUUUUUUGGUAAAUAACCUCUCACAUAUAUUUGGUAGGGCAUGAUAUGUGAGAGAUCUGAUCACUGUUAGAUUUGUUUUAUUUUUGGAUGCGAAUUCCCUCAGAGGCAGACAUGGUGAAGCUAGAGAAGCUCAAGAAUAAGGCAAAGGUGGCCAUUGCUCCUGCCUUGAUAGCCUCUUUGAAGAAGACAAAGAAGAUAUUCGAGGGAGCAAGAUUAUCAAGGGAAAGGCUGCAAAGGAUUCAGUGAAUGCAGGGGCCUCCUUGCAGGCCCCUUCCUUGGCCUCAACCUUGAUUGCCACCUCAAUUGUUAAUAAUGGCGAGGUGGAGGGAAGAUAUGAAAGGGCAAGCUUAUAUUGCUGUUCUGAACCAAGUGGAUCUGAAUAUGAUAGGGCAAAUAUUGCAUGUGAAUAGGCGACACACUUGACUUCUUGUUUUUCUUGUUUUUCCAAGUUAGAUUUUAUAUGUAGGACAUGAUCCUGGCUUUCUUCUAAUUAAUGUUAAAAGAUUUUUGUACUAAUGGGAGGGAAGUAAUUCAUUAUUUUAUAUGUAAAUGAACCUUUACUUUUUUUUCUCUAGUUCACAUGGAGAAGAUCAGAAAAUUUCUUAUUUUCUCAUAUUUUCUUGGUCCAUUUAGAAGAGUGAAGAAUUUGUUUGGACCGUGUAGAAAGUGUCAUCAUGAUCAAAGACACCUUCUCCAAGUCCCAGCUCUUCUUUCCUUCUACUUCAUGAACAAAAUGAAUUUGCCCAAAUUUCGGUUGGAUCUUCCCCUCCCUCAAAAAAAGGAUAAAAAAAUAGAAUCAUACAAAAUUAUGCAGUUUUCCCAAAUAUAUAGAUCCUUUUUCAUUUUAUGUAUGUGUGUGUGUGUGUGUGUGUGUAUAUAUAUAUAUAUAUAUUANNNNNNNNNNAAGAUACAUAAACAAUUUUCCUUUAUAUUAAAUCAUUUAUACUUGAACAUUUAUCAAGGAGGACCAUCUAGAAUCAUAUCCUUCUCUCAAAUCCAAGCAUAAGCCUAUAAAGUUUCACAUAUGAUGAUGUUUGGUCUGCCUAUGGCCUUUGCUUCCCUUUCUGGGUGGAGGAAGGACCAGAUGUAGCAGUGUUACAGAAGCAUGUGCUCCUUUCAAAAAAUUAAUGUGGUUUCUUUUUUGUUCUGUCACAUUAAUAAGGAGCAUUUUUAGAUUUUCUUCUGUGACACAAUAAAGACCAUCAAAUAUAGUGAGAUCAAAGGGAUCAAUAUAUAUAAUGAGGAAUCUAGAUGCUAACUGAAAAUAUUUGGCAUUCUAUAAUUGAACUUUAAUUCUCCUUUUGUCUAAUUAGCUUUUGUUGAGGUUGUUUUCAUAGUCUUCUUUUAUGCAUUGAUAAAUGCAUAACAAAUUCAUAACAAUGUGAAUUUUUAAUCAAAAUAGUACCUUUAUUCCCGUAUUGAUCUUGCAAAUUGCAAUUCAAUAUGGAUAAAAAUGCCAACUUUUAAGCUGAUGGGAAUUGAGUUGGAGAAUACAUACAGACAUUCUUGAAGUAAUCAAUUUGACCAACUUAUAAAAUAGUUUACCACAUCGAAACAAGUUCUCCUGCCAAUAGUUUGUAUAUUUGAGUUUGCCGCUGAGAAGAUGCUGCAGCACCAUGUAGGGCUUGAUCCUUUCGCCAGUAUGUGUAUUAUUUCUACAUGUCCAAUAGAAUCAGCCCCCAACCAAAAAAAAAUAAAAUCUCAGGGCACAUUAGCCCUUUCUAUAUGUGAUGCUAAAUUUCCUGCAUCAUUCAAAGAUUGGGUCAGCUUAUUUGGCAGAAAAGCUUAACGUUAACUUGGCCUUAUUUGAUCGUUUGUUCCCAGCCCUUUCCAUUUUCUUAUAAUUUCAUGCUGAUAAUAUGGACCAAAAGUCUAAUCAAUUCUCUUCCAAAACAUAUACUUCUAACUCAUGUUUAUCCUUGUGACUCAUUAACAGUGAAGAAGAGUACACUGACUUGAAACUAUAUUGACUGUAAAUGAUUUUUGCCAAUGAUCAGGUGGUUGGGAAAAAUCCUGGGAGGAAGGACUGACUCCAUGGGAUUUGGGACAGCCAACACCGGUGGUUCAACAUCUUGUUCGAAGAGGAACCCUCCCAAAAGGAAGGGUUUUGGUUCCUGGAUGUGGCAGUGUGCGAGGCUUGCCUUCUAUUUAAUAGUCAUUGCAGUUUAUAUUCUCUGCUCGAAUUCUGUUUUAUUUUUUUUAAGGAAUGGAACAUCUUUUUCUUUUUUUAAAACAAAUGUAAAACAUCAACUAAAACUAUAUUGAAUAAAUUAAAUUUUCCAAAUCCGGAUGGUGGCAUCCACCAUAUUGCUAAAAAAAGUAGUAAAUUAUAUAUUGGUUAAACAGGAAUUACAGAAAUUUGUUAUACUUUGGGUAGCAUGAUUUUCUGUUCUUAAAAGCACUGAAUGUGCAUGUCUUAAUCAUUCAUUCUUUCCUAACAACAGAGGUUUUUCAAAACUCUUAUAUGCUAAUUCUGACAGCAUAUUUUACUGGUUUUCUUAACUAGCAAUGCAUCAAAAGAAAGUAUUAUUAAUUUGGCAAGUACACAGCAGCUGCAGUCGAUACAAUAAUGGGUGUCUAUUUUGUAUACUAAAGGAUCUUUCUUGCUAGCUGUAUUGUUCCUUGAUCUUUGAUCUCUUAUUUAGAUUGAUAUUUUUUCCUGAAUCAGACCUUCUUUUGUUGUAGUGCUUUAUUUAGCUUUUGUAAGAACAGCCUGAGAUGCAUCCACUUUGAUAGUUAUUGCCUAGUUUAUUUUGGCUAUUUCAUGUUCAAAUUUUCCCCUUUUCAUCUAGAUUUCGUAACAAUAGCAUCGGUUAUAUCUGUUUUGAUACUAGUUACUAAAUUCAUUUAGCUAUUUUGAUAUUUUCAAAUGAUUGAGUUGUUUUUGUAUAACAGGGAUAUGAUGUGGUUACUAUUGCUGGUCCUGAGCGAUAUGUAGUAGGCUUGGAAAUAUCACAUAGUGCUGUUAAGAGAGCCAAAGAGGUACAGUUGAUAGCAAAAGAGUUGAAAGAUUUAAAUGAUUAUUCAAGGUCUUGAUUUUAAGCAAGUCAAAAGAUUAUUUUGAAUUGACCUUGUUUUGGUAUGAGAUUUGCAAUUAAAAAAAUGUAGUAUUAGGGAACAAAGGGGAGCAUGUGAGACUUAUAAUCUAUCCAAAAGAAACCCUCAAGAAGAGAGGCAAAAUGAACAUUGAAUAGGUAAUCUCUUAUUUUAAAUGUGAACUCAGCAACGCAUAGGAUUUGAACAUAUAACAAAUGAAGUAACUUUUAUGGCAUAACCAGAUAAGGGUUGCAUGUCCGAACGACUUGUAAUAGAUAUAACAUAUCCAAAUGGAAGUUUUUGCAAAAGCAUGAGUUUUGGUCAAAAAAAUAUGAACCAAGCUGCUGAAAUUCAUAGGAACACAUUGAUAUUGGUUGAAAUAAGUGAACUGCUUUUUCUUGAAUAUAUGGAUGAAGACUUGCUAUGUGUUUUGAGGCAUAAGUAUUUAGAUUGGCUAGUAAAAUUUCAAAACAUUUAGCAAGGAAUGAACUAUUUCAGCCAAAAUAUAAAGCAUGGUUGAAUCAUUCUAAGAAGACUUGUGCUACAUUGACUACUAUUUUUUGGGCCAAAGAUGUGUUUUUACAUGCCAGUGAGUUAAAUGUUAUUCUUCUGUUUGCAUCUGCAAUUGCGUAUGUUGUGCAGUAAAAGUUGUCACCUUUUCCAUCAAAUCAUAUCAUUAUUGCCUUGUCAAGGGAUUGUGCAGUAUUUACUAUAAAAUAUCGUUACUUGGUAAUCAAUGAAGGAUCUCCAAUAGCCUAGAAGGCCCUAAGAAAUUAUAGUGUCAAUUUAGAUAUAUGAACAAGAUAGUUAUGAUCCAAAAGGUGUCAGAAUAUUCAAUCAAAAACUUUCAUCGCAUGAUGGACUAAUGUGAACUUAUCUCCUUAGCUUAUACAAAAAUUUGCUCUCAUGAAAUUUGACGGUAGCAAGUCUUAAUACAACCUAGUCAGCAUUGAUCUAAUAUGCCAUAGUAAUACUAGCUGGCAUUGUUUGAUCAAUAAACAAAUGCUAAUAGGCAGUAUUCAGAUAAUUAUAUAUCUAUUUAUAUAGCUGCUCACCAUAGACUUAGAGUAGACUAAAUAAGGUCUAUUUAUCGUAAAUAUAUUACUUUUGAAGUUUAAACAUAUUUUUGAAAAACAAAUAAGAUAGUAAGAUUUCACAGUAAAAUUAAGAAUAAAUGAAAAAAUAUAAAAAAGGUGUCCCAAGCAAGUACCAGGUUGCUUGACCGGGAUGGGGCGGGACACAGAACAAUCCAUUCCAUGGGAAAACCGGAAUGCUCCGUCUUACAGGAUUUAGAAUCUUAGAUAUAAGUGAGCCCAUUCAUAGGGUUAUUAUUGUAUUCUGAGCAAAAUUAAGUACCAUUCCCAGUUCUAAAGAAAACAUGGAGUCUUAACUAGAAGAGGUCAUAUAUUUCAAAGGAAAGACUGUAACCCCUUUCUUUUGAAACAGUUGGCACUUUAUUAGUCAUUCAAAUGCACCCGCAUCAUGUUAUGAGGCAAAAAUAGUGAUUAUGGCCCUAACUGAAUUGUUGCAUGACCUCAUAAACCCAUCCAAGAGCCAGCAUUAAAAUUAUAAAAUAAAUAAAUAAAUAAAAUAAAAUAACACUGCAUUUCUUCUAAAUCUGUAAAUCAUGCUACUAUUUACCUCUUGUUUCAUUAUCAUGUUUCUUGCAUUUCUUUAUCAAAAUCGCUAUCUUUAACUUGAGACAUAUUAGUCUGUCUUUCCUUGGAUAAUUGUGUUGGUUCUCCACUCUCUCUGGUUGUCCGCUUUCUAUAGGAGAAAGUGCCUUCCAGGAAGAUGUUGACUCACCUGUGUCAAAUCACCUGAUCAGCUGGUUGUUAUCUUUACAAAAGUCUUGGAUUGUAGCAAUCAUCAAUUUGUCUAUUUCAAGCUGAAUGUGGAAGGGAUAUAUGCACUUGAGAAAUAAUAUGUUUAUGUUGUGGUCCAUUGCAGACUGUUAAUGUAAUAAGCUGUAAACAGCAUCCUGCUAUAAGUGACUUUGGAGGGAUGUUUUACUUUUCAUUACCAUUCACGUCUCUCCAUCCUUAUUUGUCUUGUUUGAUACUCAAACAGCCAAACUAUUUACCUAAAUUAGGUAUCAUGAAUCUGACUUAAGAUAAUUCAUGGCACAAUAUUUGUUCUCUUUGUUAAUAUAUGAUGGAGGGGACUUAGCAUACUAGAGCUAAAGACUCUUUUCUCUCUUGUUGAACAGAGAUUAGAGAGAGAGAGAGAGAGAGAGAGAUAAUGGCACUUUUUUUGCCAUCCUUCCUUACAUUAUAAGCCCUUCCUCUUUUGAUAAUGACAAUGUGCUUCCUUGGUGGAAAACAAAGGCAGAAGCUCUCGCACAUUAAUUGCCUUUUGAAGCAUGUUCCUGUCCUACUUAAUUUUACAUUUGUUUAUAACUAAAAUCUUAUAGAUGUUGGAACUCUUUGAUGAAUGUACUUUGUUGCCAUUUUUGUGUUCUGCCUCAUAUGAUUCAUGUUGUUUGCUCAUGUAUUUACAUUAUGGAGAAAGGAUUUAUUCAGUUGACGACAACUCAAUGUGGUAAGCUGUCUUAUAAUUUUUGAGUUCAAAUUAAGUUGACAAAAUUCUUGUGAUUUUACAGAGGUUGAUGUCAUCAACCACAGACACAACCAUAUUUGACAAUAGCUAGAAUUUGACCUAUUUAUUGUGAGAUGAAAACUAGAUUCUCACAAGAUUCUCAACUAGUAACUCUGAUCCUUUAAAAGUGCACUACUUAGAAAUGUACCAUUUGGAUGAAUGAUGAUACAUACAUGAGCUGCUCUUGUAAAAGUUUGGUUUUUACACAAGGAUCUAUCUAAUGUUUUGCUCAUCAAGUCAAUGGCAGUGGUCUUCCUCUUUGCCAAAUGCAAAUUAUUGCACCUUUCUGGUAGCAGAUUUCUUCACUUGGCAGCCGACUGAGUUGUUUGAUCUUAUUUUUGAUUACACGUAAGUUAUCAUCUUUGUGCUUAUGAACCAUUUCUUGCGUAUCUUUUCUUAUAAGAAGCUCAUAUAUGCAAUUUACUGCAGAUUCUUUUGUGCAGUUGAUCCAUGCAUGAGGGCAGCUUGGGCAAGAAAAGUUAGAGAUCUCUUAAAACCAGAUGGAGAGCUUAUUACACUGAUAUAUUUGGUGAGAACCCUUCUUAUAGUUCUCAAUAAUACGACUUUGUUUUCUGUGUAAAUAGAAGUUACUGUCAUUGUUGUCAUGACUUUUGCCGUCGUCAUCCACAUCUCUUCCUAUCUUCAUCACUUUCUCUGUGGACCCUCACAAUUCUAUGCUGAAAAUGCUCAUAAAUGGGCCGAGCUGACUCUUGCAAUUUGUUGUCGGCCUGAUAUCAACCAUCUUAUGACUGUGGUGUUGCAAUGUUUUUUCUUUAAUGGCAGAUUAGUGAUCAAGACGAAGGACCACCAUACAAUGUGACUGUAGCUGAGUGUGUAUCUUUACCUCUUGGAUUAUCUGUUUACACACUCCCUUUUAGUUUUAUUAUUGUCUAUCUCAUCUUUAGUUACAUUAAAAUAAAAAUGCUAACAUAUUUGAGGUAAUGGUACGGCCACCAAUACUUUGCUUUCUUGCAGCUAUGAGAAGGUAUUGAAUCCUGUGGGUUUCAAGGCUCUUUCGAUUGUAGAUAAUGAUCUGGCAGUUGGGCCACGCAAGGUAUGCUGUGUGCUCUUUGUAACUUGAUUAUGCUUUUCAGGGAAAAUUUGCGCAUGUCAAGUUGAAGUUGUUGUCCAGUACUCCAGUUUGUUUUGAUAUAUUGCUUUUGCUUUUUCCUUUCAUAUUUGCUGUAUGACUUCUUGCUUGCAGUGGAAUCACCGAUUGUAGGAGACCUUGGGGCAAGUGACAAGAUUGAACUGUCAAAUGAUACAAUAGAAAAUUAAUGAGAACUUUCCCGCACAAAUUGAGAUUUUACAUUCGAAUGACACAUUAACUAAACCCAAGCUGCCUAUCUAUACAUUCUCAGGCCAGUAACUCCUUCAGAAUCCAGUGUCCACUUGUUAAUCGCUAUCACUGAUUAGCAUUAGAUGGAACAAAGAUUUGGUGUUAACAAUAUGAACACUUAUCCAGUAGGCAGACGGCCUUCUCUAGGUUGCAAUUCUGGUCCUUGCCACUUGCACUGCUUGCAGGGCAAGAGAUAUGGACCUUCCAUUGAAUGUGUGCAAGUCAAAAGGUUACUCCAUUUUGGUCGCUAACUGUUGGUUGUUGCUUAGAUUUCAUGAAUGGAAUAAAAUUUUAAAAUUGUAUGUGAUUUUCUGAGGGCCCACAAAAUGGUGGUGCUGCAGUUAAUAUUGACAGGCUUUGAUGGUGACAGUGGCUUGGUAAUUUAGGAUCCUAGAACCAGAGCCAUUCUGUGCUGGAUGUUCAUAUGUACUAGUAUUAGGUGUAUGCAGAUACAUGUUGUAUGAACCCCGGAAUUUUCUCUUCAAUGGUGACAGGUUUUAGGGUGUAUGGUACAGACCUUUUCUAUCUAACUUUCUUUAGGCAAAUAAAGUGAAUAUCACAAAUAAAGAACAUAUUCAUAAGCUCUACUUUAGACAGUAGAGAUGAUUGCCCAGUACAACCAGGAAGUUUGCGUUAUGAUGGUAGAGAUUUUGGUUCAGUGGGCUUCUUCGCAUCCGCUCUUGUUGCAUAAAUUGCUUUGGCAAAUAUACAUGUGAACCAUACCCUAGUUUAGAAAAACUGUGUUCCAAGUUAUUGGUUUAGGCAUACUUUAUUAAGCUUACAGUCUAGUGAAAGAUUUUUGUAGUUUCUGGAGCUCUAAUGCAAUCAUUUUCCAGGGAAGGGAGAAGCUUGGAAGGUGGAAAAGAUGCAUAAACCAAUCAUGCCUAUGAAUGAAGACAUAAUCAGGAGAUCUCUUAUCUCUCGAUAGUUAUUUGUAAAUUGUAAUAGGCUACCUGUUUUCUCCAGAAAUAAAUUGUCUGAACAUAAGUCCCUGAUGUGCAGGGAAAUUCCUUGAUUGGCAGUAAUAUGAAAUCUUCAAUUUCAUUGUGAACAGAAGCAUCAAUACACUCAUUUAGCUUGCAAGACAGCAAAGUUGUAUGACAAUUUGAAAUACAGGAUGAUGAUUCUCGAGUCAAUUCUUUAUGUUCAUUGAUUAUUUUCAUGUGCAUUCUUUCAAUUUGUGAUUAUAGUGAAGUCGUCAUUCCUUGUGAAUUAACUGUUGAUUUGAAGGUAUUGUAUGUAAGCAAUCACAUAUUUGCUCGCUGCACUAGUGUCGAAUGAAGAGAUGAUUAAACUAAACCAUGUCUAGCCAGGGUCAUUUUUUUGCAACUGACAAAUACUACAUGUUUGAAUCAUUUUAAUUGUUAUACAUCGAUCACUCCAAAUAUGUCACUUCAGAAUAUCCCAGAUUUUCAGCUAUUGGAUGGUCUAAAAUUCUGACAUCCUUGUAGUAUCAGCUGUUACACAUUACCUUUGAAUUUCAAAUUUUUUUGCAGGAGUUGCAUGGUCACAUAUCCCUUUGCGUGUUACCCUCAAGUCAGCUUUGCAUCACCAUGAGUUUUUUAUUUUGUACCAUUGACCUAACAAGUGACAAAACCUCAAUAGCAUAGGGCUUCAGUAAUUAUGUAAGUACUUCUGUGGGGUUUACACCGGAUGUACAGCCGGUCGAAAAAUUUUCUUAAUUCUUUUCUUGAACCUUCUUAGUUCCGACCGAAAAUUGUCUUGAUGGUGGCUGUACAUGAAGAAUUGCAUAAUAACCAGUUAUUAUGGUGCUUAUUUUACAGACCAUAUGGAUCACGAACUAUCCCUAGGUGAGCUCGUUACUUUUAGAAUUCCUGUUUCCCUGCUGAAAUGAGAUUGAAGAUGGUAUGGUUUUUAUUUUCUAUUUAUGACGCACAUCGAGACGCACAUUGUUGCUAAAGAUUGGAGAGAUAAUUCAAUUAACUAUAAAUUCUAAAAAGGCUUGAAAAUAAUCAAUUCAUGUGUUUUUUUUCUUCUAAUGUAUUAUAUUUAAGUUUGGUCCAAGUCUUCCUCCAACCUCAAAAGUUAAUAGAGUCUAGAUAGACUAAGGUAUCUUUUUAGAAGUUCUUGAAUUCUAUCUUUCUCGCCGAAUUUGAUUUUUUUUCCCUCCACUUGUUGGUUUGGAAUUGCGAUUCUUACCAUCUCUCCUCCUUUUGUUCUCAAAGUCAAACAAUGUUUAGAACUCUUCUUCUAUAGAAGUCGAGCCUAUUUUAAGCCUUUGAAAAUUAAAAUUAUUAUAGAAAUAUUCUAAAUCUGGCAACAUUAGAACAUCUUUUAUAUAAGUCUAGCAUGUUUUAAUCCCCUUUUUUCCGAUGAGAAAUGAAACUUAAGAUCCUCUUAAAAAGCCUACGCACAAGGCAUCAGCAUACAACAAAUAACAUAGAGUUCAUCACUAGAAUUCCAGAUGAAGUCCUCACCUAAACUAGUUGCCUUUCUUGCAAGUCAAUCAGCCACCUUAUUUCCUUCAAAUUGCGCAUGCAAGGCUAUAAAAUUAGGAACCCUUUGAACUAUAGACUAAAUAUCUAGCAAGGAUGGGGUGAUGAGGAAUAUCUAUCUUGUCCUUGCCAUUAAUCCAAGAAAUUACCAUACAAGAAUCACCUUCAAUUUGAUAGCCGCUAACAUGAUCCAAAUGAAAGCUGCAUGAACAUCGUCCUGAGCUCCUCGAAGUUUACCAGCCAUGAGAAUGGCUCUUCCUUGAUAAUCUCUUGCAACAAAGCUAGCACUAGCAUUUUCUUCCUGCCCUUCACCAUAAAUCUUUAAGAUACAUGGCUGUGAGGGGACACCAACAAAGAGAAAUGGGAGAGGAUAAGGGCUCUAUAGCAACCAGAUCUUUGGGAGCACCUAGAGAAAUGGAAAUUUUGAGCAUCAAAUGUGUGAUAAUUUACAAGCCAACCAACUGCCAUGAGCAGUAUAGCAUAAGAGAGCUGAUUCAUUCUCAUGGUUUACAGCUAGUUUGAACUAUAAAGCCUGGAGAAAUUCCUCCAGAUCAUUCCAUGAAAUAUACUUAAAAACAAGAAAACCAAGCUCAGUAAAUUGUAUUUUGAGUAGGGUGAUUUUUGAAAUAAUAAAAAAAAGCCACUUUUAUAUAGUAUCAGGAUUGUGCAAGCUAAAUUCUUCUAUGUGCAAGUUAUGUUACUAAUCAGUGAAUAUAAAAAAAAUGAUUCUUUAUUUAUAUAAGUUAAUGCAUGUUUAUAAUUUACACAUGUAACAUUUAUUUAUUUAAAUUUGAGUUCUUCUAAGUGGCUUUUUUUUUGGGAUACUCACGAGACUUCUUCUCUCCCUUUUUUUUCUAUCUUUUUUUUCAAAUUUAUUUGUGCUAAAAAUGUAUGAUUUACGGGAUUUGUCAUACAAGAAAAAAAAACAUUUCAACUUUGCAACACAGUUUAUAUAUACAGUCAACUCGGCCAUAGUGAUCGGAUAGAUCCGGAGUUGGAGAUGUGCUGCAAAGGGACGGUCGUUGCUCUACGAUAUUUAUAGACUAUUGAAGGAGUAUAGCUCUUUUAUGGCUACGCAUGUCUAUAUAGGAAGGCAUAUGGCACGGCUGACUGGGUUACGUCAUUUAUUGCCAAUCGCUUAGGGGGUUUUAUAUAAGAAAACUAAGAAUUCUUGCCAAAGCCUUUCAGUGAGCUACUGUUUUCUAAUUUUGUUAGCCUCAUUCACACUUAAUGCAUGUAAGCAGUUGUACCAAAAAAACACGCAAAAAAAAAAAAGGUAAUGUACGUAUAGAUAUUUCUGUGCGGAUAUUCCGUAAGCUUCUGUGAAGUGGAGGUUGAUCCAGAUUCCAGUUACGGAUAGCGAGCUCCGCGCUCCAUCGUGCCACGUCCGCAAAUUCUCUCUCUCUCUCUCUCUCUCGUCUUGCCUGAUGAUUCCUCUCCAAGACCACCGUUUGAUCCCGAAACCCUUGCCAUUUCUCCAAAUCUCGGCUUCCCAUCCUCCAAAUCCUCACCAAAAAUGUUUCCCAACCAAAAAGAUCCCAGCUUUCUUCAAAUUUCCUACUUCUCACUUCCCAAAUUCUCUCGCGAUCCAAGUUUCAGCCCAGAAGACUGCACCUUUCUUGAAGAUCUUAGCUUCCAAUCUCCAAAUUCCCCUUGAGGACUCGGUGUUCACGAACAAUCUUUUGAAACCUCACCACUUUCUUGCUCUCAUGGCUGCCAUUUCUUUCCCUUUCCCUUCCUCUGCUGCUGAAACGGAGCUUUCUGCUUCAGAUAAGAUCAAUAUCGAAGCAAUUCUCAUCUCGAUCGAUGAUUUCUUGAACCAAAACCCAUUCUUUGUCGCCGGAGUCACGUUCAUUUGGCUCGUUGUGAUACCGCUGACCCAAGAGUAUCUAAAGAAGUAUAAGUACAUCAGCGCCAUUGAUGCUUUUCGGAAGCUAAGGGAUGUGCCCAAUUCACAGCUGCUGGAUAUUAGGAGUAAGAAGAGUGUUCAGUUUAUGAGUUCACCCAAUCUGAAUAUUUUUGAUAAGGAUGCGGUUCAGGUGGAGUUCGCUGAAGGGGAAGAAGAGGGCUUCGUGAAGGAGGUUAUGAAGAAUUUUAAGGAUCCUGCGAAUACCAUCAUCUGUGUUCUUGAUAGGUGAGCAUUGACCUAUUCUGUAAACUUUUUAUAUUUGCCAUGGUAGCCUUCUUUUAGUUUAUUCGAGCAUGAACGUGCUAUGGCACGGAAUCAGAACUUGGAAUUUUAGAAUUUCUAGACUUGCUUUCAGGAUUAAUAUCCUAAACCCUAAACCCUAAACCCUUUUUAUAUUUUCCAUGGUAGUCUUUUUUUAGUUUAUACGAGCAUGAACGUGCUAUGGCAAGGAAUCAGAACUUGGAAUUUUAGGAUUUCUAGACUUGCUUUCAGGAUUAAUAUGCUGAGAAAAUGCAAGGGAAAAAGAUGAAUGGAAAAUAUACUUCUUGUGGCUUCAUGAGGUUUGAUUCAUGUGCUGCAAUCUCUUGUGUUUUUCAGCUUAUUAUGUGGGAGAGUGGUGUUUGCAAUUUGUGUAUUUUAUCAAAUAAUAAAUAUUCAUAAAUUUGGCGAGCAAUCUGUAUAGGAUCUGUAAAUAACUUGUGUUGUGCUUUGAUCUUACUUGAAAUCACUCAAAUUAUGAACUUAGCCAUUGAUUUUUUUUCCCUCUUUUAUUAUUCUCCAGGGAUGAAAUAAGCAGAUUUAUGAAAAUUCUUGUAGUUUGCUAUUUAUAUAAUGGAUGAAUCUAAGCACAUUCUUCAUCUUGUUUAUGUCUUUACUAUGUGAAACAAUCUUCAUUAUGAUAGUAUUUUGGUUUUCCUUAUGAAGGAGACCAUACCUUGUCUUACUGAUAAAUCAGAUUUAGUUGAGGUCCUGCUUCUAAGAUAAAUAGGUGUUCAGUUGGGGAAUUUGGUCUAUCAUUUCCCUGCCUCUCAUUGGAUUGUCUGCAUCAGCUCCAGAAUCGCUCAAACCAUGUUCUGGACACCGUCAUCAUACUGCUUUGCUCCAAUGAAAUGAAUGUUCUAUAUCUAAUGCCUGGAGGAUCCAUGUUCAGAUUUUGUUUUUCGAACAUUCUUGAUUCCAUAUGGUCAACCCUUGAAUCAGCAAUUGCUUUCCCAUAUAUUUGGGGUUGGAUUUACAAAACCACUUUAUAUUUGCUCAUCAACUACAGCUUUGUUUUCAAAUUAGGUUUUCUUCACAUUCUUUCUCAUUACUCUAAUGCAGAUUUUCUGAUAUUCUUCCUACUUUCUUGAUGUUUCGACCCAGUGCCAUUCUCUCUUCAGACUUUUGUCUCCUCUGACUAUUGUUAGAUAUGCCCAUAUAUCAUAUGUGGAACUUUGUACUAAACUGAUGUAAAUUCUUUUCUUUCUUUUAUGUGAUAUGUGAUCCAUACUGAUUCCUUUUUAUUAUUUUUUUUCAAUGCUUCUACCUUAACAUACUUACCUAUACAAUAUGCAUUUGGACCCUUUUAUAUGCCUACCAUUAUUCCUGUAGAUCAUUCCCAUGUAAUAUCAUUGGGCUAUAUAUGACUAGGGAGCAUAUGGAACUCAAAUGUACCUCAUUUAUUCCUUGCUCUGAUUGAAGUGUAUUCACCAUCUCUCCAUUCUCUUCCACAAUAAAUCCAAGUUAAUGUGAUAUGGUCACCUAAUGGUUCUGUUGGCCAUCUAUUCAACCAGUAUGGCUUUCAUUCUAUAUGUCCUUUAAAAUUUUAUUUCAUAUACUCUCCGUAGUCUUAUUAGAUUCUUCAGGCUCUUACCAUCCUGAUUUUCCUCCAGAGUUCAUAUUGAGCAAUUACCCCUCCAUAGUGCAUAUUGAGCUUCUGGUUAGACAUGGUCUAGUUUUGAAUGCCACUGGACAUUUUCUCUACAAGAAGAACAUAGUGAUGAAAAACUCAACUGAUUGUUGUUAUUUGACUACUAGAUAUGGAAACUCACUGUUCUAGCCAUUACCAUGUGCUUUUCAUGCUGCCACAUAUAUCUUGAAUGGUCUCAGAAUUAGUUCAUAAUCGUUCCUUUCUAUAUUAAUUCCACUGACCUCAAUAGUUGAGCUUCCUGACCCAUGACAUAAGUCCAUUAAUCUCGAUCUUUGUUCCUUUACAGUUUUCCACAAUUUUAUGGUGUUAGUAGUUUCUUAGCUCUGAUUUUCCAUAUCUUGCCUAAACUUUCUUUUACAUCCAUUCUAAUGCCUUUUCUAUUGCGGCUUUAUUACCAUAUGAUAAGUGCAUGAAUCUGCAUGUUGUGAAUCCUUUGUAACAAGUUAUGAAAUAUCUUCUCCAUUGUUGAUGAUCUCAUCAUGCGGAACCAGAUUGAUAUCUUAAUGCUUCUCAUUAUCAGACCAUCUAGUAAAAGAAAAAGGAACUUUAAAGCUUUGCAUUCACUCUUCCCUUGUUCUUGCUUCGUUUAUCAUAGAUACAAUUAAAAAGUGGAUUUUGACUGAAAAGAUUAAGAUUGACACGCUUCAAGGUUCCAUUUUUCCUUAGAUAAUUUGAUCAGGAGAUGGAGAGUUUGAAUUUCAAACUUUGAUUUUACAUUUUACAAGUUUAGAUGUAAAUCUUGCUUCGUGCAUCACCAAAUGCCAUGAAAAACAUGGAAUUAUGACUACAUGCAUGCAUUUUUUCUGGUGGCUUACUUUUCUUAUUUGUAUACUACCAGAAACAGCUUUUACUGCCAGAAAAAAUCUUUGUUGCGCUGGCUUGCAGUCCUGUUGCUGAGUAUCGUUUCUUUUGUGUAAGGUAGCUUUGAUGGUGUUUCCUUAGAAGUGGCCGAACUUUUGUUCAAGAAUGGUUUCAAAGAGGCAUAUGCAAUCAAAGGUGGACUCAGAGGCAAGGAUGGAUGGCAGGUUACUCUUCUGUUGCUUUGCUCGUAAUGUUAAUAAUAAGAAGAAUGGCAGCAAUAUUGAUGUUGUUGUUUUGUGUAGGCUAUUCAAGAAACCUUACUCCCACCAUCCGUGCAUGUUCACCCAAGAAAGAGGAGUAAAACAACAAACCCCUCUGAAGUUAACAGUCAAAGGACAGAUGACCAGAACAAUGGCAAUGGUCAGGCACUGGCCUCUUCAAGCAUUCAUCACAACAGAAAUCAGAAUACAGGAUAUGAUUGCAUAGACUCUGUGGAAACUGCUUCAGAAGCAAAACUUGCUACCGAGAGACUGUUGUCUCCAUACCCUAAUGUACGAUUCUCAACUUCAGCUUCUUAUAGUGGAACUUUUUGUUCUAGGUUCAAUUAAUUAAAUACAUAAAAAUGCCUCACAUAUAUAUCCAUGUUAUAUGCAUUCAUAUAGAUGGAGUACUUAAAAGUGCUUGUAAACCUUUCUUCCUCUUGAAGGAGUCCCCUGAGCCAUGACCCUAAUCCUAAAACCAAAGUUAGCUAUUCAUGGAGUCUUAUCAUACAAAUAAGUGAUGCAUCUACUUAUGACCUACUUAAUUUGUGAAUGCAGUAUCCCGACUUGAAACCACCCUCUUCUCCAACUCCUUCGAAGCCAUGAGUAUUUUUUUGUUUGGUGCUGAUGUGCAAGGUUUGCUGCUGGAAGAGAGGAGAAGCCAUGACAUGCAUAGAGCAAAAUUUUUCUUCUUCUCCACCAUAUUUGAGCAUUUGUCAUGGGCAUGAAUGACUAGAGAGCUAUUUGGAUUUAGGGGUUGUUCGGCGGCAUGUGGCUUCACUUACUUGCAAUAGAAUUUGCAGCUCAAAAUAGAAAUGUUGCAGUUGCAUUUGUGGGUAUCUUAUUAGUUUGCCUGUGAUUGUAGGAACUAUUCUUUUUUAUUUGGAUGCCUACAGCUAACUAUUUGUAAUUGCAAUAGAUUUGUUUGAUUGUUUGAUCCACUAAGAUUGGUCUUUUAGAAAAUUUAUGUACUUAUUCAGUACAGCAUUAAGCAUUUUAUUUCUAAAAUACAAUCAUAUCACUGUAAUACAUUUUUUAUUAUAGUAUACAUUAAAUUAUACAAUAUUAUAAUAUAGUAAGUACAUAUAUAUGAUUCAUAUAUAUAAUAUAUUACAAUUAUCAUUUGUUAGACUAUAAAUAUAUUGUGAUAUGAUUAUUAGAUUAUAUUGAUACAAUGAUAUAUUAUCAUAUAUUGGCAUGAUCUUGGUGUUAUUAUAUUACACUAGUAGAGGUGGAGCAAGCUCUACGAGGACAAGAGAAGUGCGAGUCAUGGUAUCAAAGGGUGCAAGUUAGUACUUAGGGCAUGAUUGAUUAGAGGGAGCUAGACUCUGAAGGAAAAUUGGAAUGAGUGACUUUCAUUUUAACUGUUUGGUCAGAAGGAGUCUCAUUGCCGAGAGAAUCGGAAUGCCUUAAUCCCACAAAAUUUAAUUCUACUUUCUUCUAGUAUUCAAAUUUUACUCCGAUUUUAAAUCUAAUCACGAACCAAACACAUCGGAGGAUAUGGUUAUUCCGUUUUUCAUUUCAGUCCAUUCUAAUUUUGUUCCUAAUUUCGGUCGCAAACUAAAUAUGCUUUUAGUACCAAAGAUAUAUUGCAACCAAUGAUCAUGUGAACUGGUGGUUGAUUUUUUUUGUGACCAGUUUUGCAACGGAGGAGCCAGCGGAAGCUACUUGCGGUAAACUGACUUGAAAGCUGCCAGAUGCAGACAAUAUGUAUACAGCCAAAUAGCUUCUUAGAGGAAAGUUCAAAUCUUCCAAGGAAAAUUGUAGCAGGCCAAGUCUUUUGAUAUUUGUAAAACUGAAUGUACUACAAAUGGGAUUAUGAAAAUUUUUAAAGCAAAAUGCAAGGGACUAUGAAUUUUAUAAAACAAAAGGAUUAUGAAAAUUUUUCUAAGCGAAGCCAAAGUGUUUUUAGAUUUUUAGGAUUGAAUCUGCUAAGGCCUAGGCUAGCCAGCCCAAAGGAUUAAACAUUUCUACUUUGUAAUUCAGAAAUUCCAUCAAUUUGAGAAUGACAUUGGGGAUUAUGAAAUAUUUCAAGAAAAAAGAAAAUGAUUAUGAAAUUUUUUCAGCCAAAUGCAAGGGUGCAAGGAGUUAUGAGUUUUUCAAAAAAAAAAAAACCUAAAAAAUUUAGGCCCAUGCAGGUCUCGAACCUGCGACCUUCGCGUUAUUAGCACCACGCUCUAACCAACUGAGCUAAUAGGCCGGUUUGGGCUUCAUGCGAGUCAUACUUAAUAUGUAAUAUAGAUCGUUGACUGUGUAUACAACUCCCCAUAUUUUUCAUACAUUUUAUCUUUAACCAACUACUAUUGAAUAUGUAUAAUAUAAACAUGCACGUAUAUAUGGUUAGUUUGAAAUGGUCGCAUAAAUACAAAAUAUACCUUUACAAAAUUUUUCCUUCGUUGAUUUAGGAGUUGCUCAUGUUGUUUCGUUUUGGUUUUCUUUAAUAAUAAUUUUUUUUUAAAAAAAUUGCAUUUAGAGCUUAAUCAGAAAAUAAAGUCUUGCCUAAGAAAAAAUAGCUCCAAAUGACAUAUCUAGUUUUAGCAUACAGACAAUAUGAGCAAUCACUAUUUUCUGAGUCUAAAAGCAUUGUGUAUGAAUGUGCAUGCCCCUAAUUAAGGGUGCACAUCAAAUAUUCUAUGAACCUUAAGCUGCAAAAUUUGGAAAUGAUUAGGUGCAUUAUAAGCUUUAACAAACUUAUUCCAGUGUCCUGUGAAAAGUAUAAAAUAUAAGCACUAAUAAGGAGAGAGAUCAAGCUCACUUUCAUAAAUGUUCACCUCAUUCAAAUAAUCAACUUUGUAUUGAGAAUUCCAACAAGAAGAAUUGUCCAUAAGAUACUCUUGAUAUGAGUUAGCUUGAUGUAUCAUUCAACUUACCCAAUAUGGAAGUAAAAAAAUAAGAGUUUAAUGUCUAGACCACAUUACAAAAUGGUUACAAAAAUUCUAAAUUCUUUUCAAUUCUUUAUAUACGGUAAUCUAAUAUAUUAAAAUUGUAGAUUCUGUGUUGUGUGCCAAUAUAAAAUAAAAAUUGUAUUGAGGUUUUCUUUUUUCUCAAACUAAAAAGCGAACUCGAUUCUCAAACUUCUUAUAUAUUUUUUUUGUCUUUCUCGAGCACCGUUAUCUAAGAAAUAAAUUAUAGAACUCUUAUAUAUUUUGUAUGUGCACGUACAUACAUACUUAAUCUACUUAUGUAGACACAACAGACACACAUAUAUAUUAAUUGAAUUGUAUGUUCAUUGUAUAGGAUGAUAAUACAUUACUUUUUCUAAAUACUGAGAGAGAAAGAGAUCUCAAAUAAACCAAAUAUAUUGGUUUAAAACUUUUAAAUAUAUAUGAUAGCUGGAUAACCCAAAUACAAGUAUCAUGACUUUGAAAAUUGUAAGAUAUUAGGCACCAAAAUUAAUAGUUAAUCUAGUCAAAGAUUGUUGCUAAAUUAUAUUGUUAAAUUUUGGGAUUAAUUGGUUACUUUAUACAUUAUCAGAGCUCAAAAGGUGAAUAUCAUUUUAUGAGUUUAAAUAUAGAACCUCUCUGCAACGCAUUUUCUGAAUAGCGGAUGCUCACAAACAAACUUAGUUCUUUGACCAAAAAGUAUAAUAUCGCAUGAUCUAUUAUACAUCGAUGCUUAGCAACAAUGAUUCUUUUUACAUUGAAUACUCGUCCAAUAUAUGUGAUAGUUAAAAUUGCUUAUCAUUGUAGAGAGCGAAUAACAUUUUCAUUCUGUACAAUAAAGUACACUUAGCUUGAUAUCUUUUUCUUUAAAAAUAAGUUGUUAUAUGAAUGCAAGGGAUUAUGGAUUUUUUUUUAAAAAAAAUGGCCAUGCAGGUCUUGAACCUACAACCUUCACAUUAUCAUCAUGACACUCUAACCAACCAAUCUAAUAAGCUAGCUAAGGAAAUCCUUCUUAGUCCUAGUUGUAAAAGUAAUACUCAAGCAUUUUUGCUAGUUACCCUAUAAAUAAUAGUGGUGUUUGUAUAUGCCUGUUCAUGGCUAAGAUGAGCAUUAUUGAAAAUAUAGCAUACACACAUAUAAAUACUAUAUUUUGCAUUUAUGCUACUAAUUCAAACUUCCACAAAAAAUUCUCUUUUUUGAUCUAACACGAUUUCAUGAGUUAGGGGCUUAGUCUCUUUCUUGAACUUCUUUUUUUCUUUGAUAACUAUAUCUUUAAAACUUGCCUAGAGAACUUAACCAAAAAAAAUGAAGUCUCACCUAAAAAAAACGUCCCAAAGGAUGCCUAGAUUGUAAGUGCAAACAACAUAGACAGUCACUAUUUUUGAGCCUAAGAGCAUCGUGUAUGAAUGCACAUGCCCCUAAAAGUGCACAUCAAAACUUCUAUGGACCUUUGCAAAAUUACAACAUGAUGGCAACUUGCAAUGCUGAGAAGAAUAUAAGCUUUGCUGAAUAUAUUCCAAUGUCUUGUGAAAAGUAUAAAAGUACAAGCACUAGUUAGGAAAUAGAUUGAGAUGACUCUAAAAAUUAUUCACCUCUUUCUAAUAAUCAACUUAAAGUAAACAAUUCUGUAAAAAGUCAUCAAGGAGAUAGUUUUGAUAUGAGUUAGUUUGAUAUGGGCCAUUCUGCUUACCUAAUACAAGAGUGAGCAUGCAAGAGAUUAUGCCAAGCCCACAUCAGAGAAUAGUUGCGAAAAAUUGAAUUCCUUUGAAUUCUUUCUAUUGUAAUCUAACAUAUCAAAACUAUAAAUUCUGUACUGGAUGCUAAUAUUAAAAAGAAGAAUAGAAUGGAGGUUUUCUCUUUUCUCAAACUGAAGAGAGAACUUGAAUUCACAAACUUUAUUUUUUUUUCUUUGUAUUAAAUGGUAAAGCAAAAAGAAAAGUAAUAACUAACAGGUAAGUGAAACAAACUAAUGAAAUUGAUUUCAUAAGGAUAUAAAUACAAGCUUUGAAGCGUAAAAAAAGAGAGUCUUGAUAAGAGAAGAGAUAAAUCAUCUCCGUUUCUCCAAGCAUGACCAAUUCUAUCACUCGAAUUCCAUAUAAAAGGAGUAAAUCGGCUUUUUUGCUUGUCUAUGAGACUUGAGCUACUUUAUUGAUGAUAGAAAGACGUCCAUGACCAACUUCAUACUUUAUUUGAACUUUAUGUGUAGGAAGGUUGAUCCUCCUUUACUCUACUCAACCUCUACAUGCAAACAUGUUGAACCUACAAUCCGUGAAUUCUUCGAUAUUUAUGCGAAAGUAGGUUGAACCUUCGCUCUAGGUUGCUGAAUUCCCAUAUGAAAGUUUUGAACAUCCGUUUCUCGGGCAACAAUGGUACUACAUUUGUUGAUCGUUGGAAGAUGACUUAUCACCAAGAAAGAUUUUGGGUCCUAAAAUCCUAAGAAGAGAUCAUCAGACCAACCACUCUAUAGAAUUGUAAAAUAGAAUGUGACCGGUGCCUAGCAAUACAAAAUGUGUCAAAGGAGAAUCAUACCGAUCUUUAUUUCUUCUUUUAUCAUACAGAUUGGACAUUAUUUCUAGUAAUGACUUCUUUCAGGAGAUAUUAUUUGGGACAGUUUGUUUUGGUAACUUCUUCUCUAGGGGUUGCUAGUGGUUUAUCUGAUAAAUAACUCCAUUUCAAGAAGUUGUUUUUGCAAAUAACUAUCUUACAUUUUGAUAGCUUCCUUUGUGAAGUUUAUUUCAAUGGCAAACUACUCAUACAUGGCCUCAUGUCAUGACCAAAUAUUAGCCUUCUAAGCAUCCCAGCAGAAAUAAUUAACCAAAUCUCAUAAUCAGUCUAAUAUUUUUGACCCUCUAAAAUAGUUAGUACGGAUUAUUUUUCGAAUAUGAAUAUAAACAUAUUUUAAGUCUGUAAUCGCUAGAUUUUCUGAACCAAAAAAAAAAAGUUUUAGCCAGCCCGAGGCCAAACCCUUCCCAAAACCAAUCAACUGGACGGUAGACCUUGCAUCAUGGCAUGAUCCAACGGUCCUUGUUCUUCUAAGCGCUCCGGCGUGUCAAAUCAAGUUCUAGCGGUUGAGCAGUUCCCGAUGGACUCGAUAACAAGUGCUCCUCGGAUCAGCUAUCAACACAGAACACAAACCAAACGUUCUCUGCCUUUGAUGUCGACACGUAUACAGUACACAAAGUUCUGUUCUUGCUGCAAUUGUGGGACCCGCCUCUCACUUCGAACUUGAUGCGUUAGUUAAAAGGAUUUUUAUUUCUCCGCUUGUAGGUUGCCACCGGAGAAUAUUUUACAACUGCGAACCAAUAAAAGAUUCCAAUUCAGUGGCAUAUCGUAAAUAAACGGCACUAACGGCUUCUUUUCCCAAACCAGUUUAUUUCGGAGUCUCUCCGACUCCGAGAGUUCGAGUGCCGGCGUCGUCUCGAGUCGGCCUAUAAAUACUUCGCUCCAAAUCCUCCCUAAAUCCGCGCGUCGCCCCGGCUAUUCUUCGCCCCAAGGGGCUCUCUAACGACCCUCUCGAGAACCCUAGAAAUGGAGCAAGAAACCCUAGAAAUCCCCGAGGAUGGGAUCGCCUCCACCGCCGCGGGCUCUCUAACGACCUUCUCGAAAACUGUAGAAAUGGCGCAAGAAACCCUAGAAAACCCCGAGGAUCGGAUCGCCUCCGCCGCCGACCGGACGGCGCAGGAGCCCGCCGGCCCCUCGCUCUCCCGCACCGCCUCCUCCAGCCGCGGCCUUAACGCCGACGCCCCCCGAGUUUGUCCCCCGGGCGCCGCCGCCGGGGCAGCACCCGCGGGUGGUGAAGAUCCGCCACGCCCCCCCGCCGCCCCCGGUGAUCCACGCCUUCCACCCGCCGCCACCUCCGCCCCCGGCGAUGAGCCCGCCGUUCAUCUCUCCGGUCCCGAGCCUUGGACCGUUCGAGUACUUCGGGGGCGGCGGCGCCGUCGCGGGCGGAGGAUUUGGGGAGCAUGAGGCGGUUCAGACGGCGGUUGAUGUGGAUCAUGUUCCUCCGCCGGGGAGGGAGGGGCUCCCUGAAGAGGUUGUCCAGAAGAUCACGAAGCAGGUCGGUGCUUUCUUGAUUUUUUAUGCUUUAGUUUUUUUUUAUUUUUUUGCGGGUGAUUUUGGUUUUGAUAUGACGUUUACCUAAUUCUUGCUGUCUAGUGACGAAGUAAUUGGGGAGAAUAUUGACCAAUUUGUUUUGUUUUAGGAAUUUUUUGCAGCCAGUAAUAUUUUCACGUAUUAAGAGUUUGAGAUGCUCUUAGGAAGAGGUUAUUCAUUGGCGCAUAAUAGAUUUUUUUGUAUUUAUGUGUGUGAAUAAUAGCAUGCAAUUUUUCACUUCUAAUGCCUCUAUCAUUGUAUUUUGGUAUCAAGAAAGUUAUUUGAUGCCAUGGGGUGUUCUGUUCGCUUUACUAAAUUUCUAUGUAUUCUAGACGAUACCCACUAAAUGGAUGAUUUUGACAUUGCUAUUGAAGGCGUCAUGCUUGUAUAUGAGGGAAACAGGCUGCUGAGGUUUCUAAUUGCUUUUGUUGCUCUUCUUGACUAGUUUUUUCAGUGCAAUACUUCUGUUGAUGACUUAAUCUAUGAGCCUUCCUAACAAAGUAUCCCCAGUCUACUUUAUUGUAUACUUUGCUAUGCUGUACAUUGAAUAGUAAAAAGUUAGUUGAACCCGUCAAUUUCAGAAUGUUUGGACCAAGGCAUUCUAUUUUGUUGAAUUUUUAUUUAGAAAAUCCUUUUCUAUAGUUAUUCAAUGAUAUGAUAUUUAAUUUAGAACUGAAGUGUUUCUUUGCAUCUGAUAUUCCUUCAUAAGAUCAAAUUCACAACCUUAGGGCAAUUCCUCAAGUGCUAGAAAUUGAGGAAAAAGUGUAAAGAAGGGAAGAGAGAAACAACAGAAAUUCCUUUAAUGUCCUGAAUACAGUGGUCAGAGUCAUGCAGGGCACAUCAUGUGAGAAUAAAGAACACAAAUACGUAAAACAGACUGAUGGUUGGGCAGCUAGAUAACAGAUCCUUGAAGGAGCAAGCCGCUCCCUCCAUAGAUCUUCUUUUCUGCUGCUCCCUCCAUAGAUCUUCUUUUCUUUCUUUUUGUCUUUUUAUUCAUUGUCCCCCUAUCUUAUAUCUCCUUUCCUUUUUCCGUCUUCCUGUCUCCUUCCUUUCCACUUAAUUUACAUUUUUUUCUUUUUAUCUUCCUCUUUUCCCUCCUCUUCUCUUUUUUUCUUUCUCUUGUUCCAUUGUUAGAACCAACUUACCUUCCCCAUCCAAUUCAAAAUGAAAGACCUAAUACCCAUAUAAAAAGGAAAAUCAAAAUUUUUAGAAACUAAAUUGUGUUAUCCCAUGAUCAUGUAUCGAGUGGCCACAUACAUACUAUUAGUUUGUAUUUUUGGAAUAAUUUGCUAGUAUAUAGGGUUUCUUUCAUGUUGACAGGAAUAAUGAAAUUUUAGGAGAAUGUUUUAAUAAACUCAUCAUGGUCUCAUUGGUAAUGAAGAGAAUAUGAUAGUGAGGAUAAAAAUAGAGUUCCUAAAAGUUCCAACUAGAGUGAUUUUGGUCUAAUUAGCUAAAAAAACCUGAAACAGACCUUUAGUUGGAGGGGCAUAUGUAUUUUGUAGGCUACAUCUUACUUUUUCCAAAAAAUUCUUCUUCUUUUUUUUUAAUCAUUCUUUGCUUCUCUUUUAUCUCCUUAAUUUACUUCUUUUUCUUGCAUGCUUCUUAUCUUCUCGUUCCUUUCCCCUUUGUCUCCUUUUUUAUCUCUCUAUUCUCAUAUAUUUAAUUACUUUUCCUUGCCUUCUUUUUGUCUUUUCUUCAUUCCUCCUCAAAUGUUGCCUUGUGGAGCUCAUGCCUUCCCCCCCUUGGCAGGCUCUUUCAUCUCCUUACUUCUAGUUUGAAACUCAUCUUAAGUUCCACAUCAUAUAUUAAACCUUCUUUAUCAUAUAUAACUUAAGAUAAUUCACUUAAGAUUGAAGCAUUCAUGGAAGAAAUGGUUAUAAGUGAAAACAAAAUGAUUUGUUAUGCAACUGUUGGAAAGUUACUUUAUUAACUGUUGUAAAUUUACUUUAUUAGGUUGCAUGCGUUUUGCUGCAUAUCAUUAUCUAUUCUAAUAGUCAGAAAUGCAUAUUGAUGAUAUAACUCCUAAAGGAUUUUUUUAUGGAACAUUUACAAAUGAUCUUUGAGUAAACAUUAUAUCCUAUAACAUGUAUAUAUUUUUUAUACAUUUCAAUGUAUCUUGUUAUUUAUGUUUAUUUGUUAUGAUUUGAUUUGAACCAUGGUUCUAAACAUCGAAAAUUGGUCCCGCAUUGGUCCUUGGUCAGCACAGGACAUGCCGUACCGCAUAUUGAUCAACACCUUAUACCAUCUGAAAUGCUCUUGCUACAACGUAUUCUGGCCUUCAAUUGUGCAUGAAUGUGAUAGUGUAUUGAUUUGAAUGCACUGAUUACCCGGUUGUAAUGCAUAUGUGGUCCAAUCUAUUAUAAAGAUAAAUUGAAUAACUUUACUUGUGCAUUAGCAACUAAAAUAUAUUUAAUUUACAUUAAAUCAAUGAACCGAUGAAGAAUACUGAAGAUUAUGAAGGUCAAAAAAUCCCUAGUAUUGUGGAGUAACAUGUAUUGGUAGUAUCAUUCAUUAUGUUGCCUCAUAUACUCCAUGUACUGCAUCAGUCAUGAUAUACACGACUUCCAUAGAAACACAUUGCGGGUUGCGGGUUGGCGGUUGAUUGACCAUAUAGAGGGUAAAUAUAUGCUCUGUGGGGGUUGUAUGUGGAUUUAAUGUGGAGCCUUGCGCAUGAAUCUGAUCAUUGUAUGCUCUAGGGCAUGAACCUGAGAUGCAUAAACCAUGACAUUAACUUCAACAUGAUAUCAAAACUAUCUAAAAAUUCUUUUGUAGGAACUUUAAGUUUCUAAAGAGCAUAUAGCCAUUUGUAUCCCAAAGAAGAAUUUUUUUUUUAUCUUUUUUACUGCUUUUUGCCUCAUUAUAGAUUCCAUAUUUACAAGAAUAAUGCAUCUUUAAAUGACAGGUGGAGUAUUAUUUCAGUGAUGUAAAUUUGGCAACUACGGAGCACUUAAUGAGGUUUAUCAGUAGGGAUCCUGAAGGAUUUGGUAAUAAUUUUUUUAUUAUUACAUAGAGUUUGAAUAUUCCAAACUAAUGGAUAUGCUAUUUUUGUUUUAUUUUUGUAUGCUCUUGUUUGUUUAUAUCUGUUGUAUAAAGAUUUGUUUCACUCUCAGACUUUUGCUUAGCUGACGCUCUCUGGCUAGUGGAUGCGGGAUCACUGGAUGCAUGGGAUGGCUCCCUCAUGCUUGGCAGUUUUUGAGAAUAUGAGGCAAAGGAAGAGAUAAACGGGAAGCGUAGUCAUGUCUUGCACGAGAAACAUGUUUAGUGACAUUAAAUGUUAGUUAAGAGGGUUUUAUGAAUUUGAAGUCUCUGUCACUAAUCAUACAUGUGCAGUGUUUUUGUAUAUUUUGCUGUAUUUUAGUAUGGAAAGAGAAUAUAAUAUGCAUGAAGUAGGGUGCUAAACUGCUAAUUGUUCACUGAAUUGCUAAAUAGCAUUCCAGCAUCGUGUCUUAGGAUGCAGCAAUUGUAAGCACAGGUCUAUCCUCUAGGUUCGUGCCCUUUAGGUGAUAAUAUGUAGCUUUUGCCUCUUUGGUAUUCGUGCUUCAACUCUCAUAGCAAGUAGUUCUCCCAAUUAGACAAUAGUUUCAAUACCCCAAGUCCUCUUUCUGACUCCUCUCUUAAUAUGAGUGGACUGGGAUCCAGAAGGGCGUUGGAUGCAUAUAAGCAUAUUUUUUCAUCUUGCAUGAGAAACGUUUUUGGGUGAUGUUCAGUAGGCUUAUAUAGUUCUGGAGUCUCUUUGACACUAAACAUAGACUGGUAGUUUGUUCACAUUUUUUAAAUUAGAAAAAAAAUAUAAUAUGCAUACAGAUCAGGUGCAAUUUAUUGUUAUCCAUAUUGCUAAAUAUACUUAGGAUAUUGUAUCUUUGCAUGCAGGAAUUUUGAAUGCAAAUCUGUCGCCCAAGGGUCACAUUCCUCGAGUAAUGGUUUCUAGUUUACUCCAGGUUUUCCCACAGGAAGCAGUUUUCUUUGUAUGAGAAAGCUUUGCUGUGUCAGUUGGUUCCUUUCAUGGGACACCAAUACCAUCCUUUUGCCACCCUAGACAGUAUAAAAAGGCAACAAGUUUACUAUUCAUCUCAAUUCUUUACUUGUUUGGGAUUGGUUUUCCCCAAAACCACUAGCCAUAAAAAACUCGAGAUCAUCAAGGGAUUUCCAGAUUCCAAAUUAGCUGAUAAAGCUCGUAAAAGAGUUGACUACUGGUCACAGUUGUUCCAUAAGACUUGUCAAGGUGAGCACCUUGGAGUAUUAUGAUUAUGAAGUGAAGCAUCUCUGAAGUAAGUAAAAAAGUAUAAUGCAGAUCUAAAUUUUAUUGCAGAAGUGCUCUUCUGCGCAUUGUGAGAAACCUCUAAAGCAUUAUUACUCAGAAAAUAAUGAUUAACUUAGCUGAAGAAGAUUGGUAGAAAAGAUUUCUGGUGCAUGGAAAUCAGUUUCCUUCAUUGUAUUUUAAGGGGUUGACAUCUUUUUUUUCUUUUUAAUUGUUUGCUUUUGAGAUUUGUAUAUGUAAUGCAAGGUGUUAUGUACAUGUGAUUGUGUAAGAAGACCAUUGACUCAUAGGCUGGGUGUAAAUUAACUGUAAAACGUAAUCCAUCUUUUAACCAUUGUCUUCUAUCAAUUUUUUAGAAAAGUGUAACUACCCUAAAUGGCUCAAUAGUCUAACAAUUACAGCACUUAGACUACUAUAAAUGAGUCCUUGAUCUUAUGUUCUGUCAAGAUUUUUGCACUUCUCUUAGCAUCUUAAUGACAAUCCAUUGCAUUGUGACUGCACUUAGUGAUCCGUUACAUUCAACAGUAUGAUCUAUUCAUGCUUAUGGUAAUCUUUUAAAUAAGGUUUGUCACCAUGUACCUUGUAAAUACACCUUUACUAGGAGUUACGAUACCAAGGGACAAAUAAUGUAGUAUUAUUGGAAUAGACAAUCCAGUUAUAUACCAUCAAAUGGAUUAGGAGGUGCAGAUCAGCUUUUAUAGGUGGAAGAGGUGGAGUUUUUUUUCCCCUCUUUUUGGGUGGGGGGACUAUUCAAUACGUAUACAUCGAAUUGUUGAGAUGUGGAAGAAAGUUAAUGAAAUAUUUCUAUUGCACAUUCACCUUUUAGAGUAGUUAUAUUCCAGUAGACUUUGUUGUAAAUUAGUUUCUUAUCUUUUGGUUGUUCAGCACAGUAUGCGGCCAUGCUCAUUGAGAUGUGGUGAAGAGAAAAAGAAUAAUACAACCCAUCUACCUAUGAUUUACUUUGUAUGAUAGAGGAAGGAGAGUAGCAAAAAAGAGUUUUGUGGUAUAAAAGAUGAAUUCCCUCCUUAGCUUGAAGAGUUGACGAGUUUUUGCAAUCCUGAGUUGAUGAUUAUGGGCUAAAAAAUUAGGAAGAGGAAAGCAACAUGUAAUUGAAAAUAGGGGUGAAACUUUAUUAACCAAAUUGCCACCUUAUGUGCUUUUAACUUCUCUACUGGAAGGAGUUAUUUAUAUGUCAGUCUAAGAAGAUAAUAAAUCCUUGUGGGCCAUUUAUUUGUUGCGUGUAUCUUAAAUUGUACAUGGUAUUUAAGAACUGAGGAAGAGUUAUUGAUAUCUGGUGUUAAAUGUAUUCCAAAUGAUUAUUUUGUUGUAAGGUGAUAAAUAAUGCAUAUUAUAAUGGUCAGAGCAAUUAAGGGGGGGACACUCACCCCCUCUAUUUUAUCAAAAAAAAUAAUGUUCAGAGCAAAUUAGACAAGCAAAACUAUUCUGUCUUAUUGUGUGGUUGUUAUUGUUUCCAUUUGUGCCUUCCAAAUAUAUUUAUGAAUAUCCUUUCAUUCUGUAGUUUGGUGCACAUGAUCUAAUACAUAAAAUCAACAUCAGAUUUAAAUGUAGUAACCAAGUUGACAUUGUUAUAAUUAUUACACCCUUAUUUUUGGUGCAGUUCCAAUAUCAGUAAUUGCAUCUUUUAAGAAGAUCAAGGCCUUAGUCCAUAACAAUCCCUUGCUUGCUGCUGCUUUACAGACAUCAUCAAAACUUGUAAGUCUUUUCAGUGAGAUGCUUAAUUGGGUCUAAUGCCUUCAUUAUAAUCAUAUGCCUUCCCAGCAACUGCUUUCCAUAGUCAGCUACCCUGUUGCAUUUUGUUCCUCAUUCGCAUUCCCUUGUAUGUAACUUUCAUACAGAAAAAUUCUGCAGCAGUUUGCAAGUUGCUGGCACUAGUGUCACUAAUAUAUUUAUAUGCUAAUGCUUCUUGCACACUCUCUUCUGAUCUUCCAUACCUUUUGCAUUUUAUAGGUUGUUAGUAAUGAUGGAAAGAAAGUUAGACGCUUGCAACCCUUCACUGAGGGAGAUGUUGAAGAAUUGCAGGUUGUAUUCAAUCACUCAUCACUGGUUCUUAAUUAUUUUUCAUGUAUUCUGUGUGACACCCUUUUUUUUUUGACUUUAUAUAGUCACGUAUCGUUGUUGCUGAAAAUCUACCUGAGGAUCAUUGCUACCAAAACCUUAUGAAAGUUUUUUCAGCUGUCGGGAGGUUAGGAUUUUUAUGUGAUAUAGAAGUCAUUUUUUUCCAAAUUAUGAAAAUUUCGGUCAUUAUAUGUUGUCAACUUAUGUACUGUAGUGUGAAAACAAUUCGUACCUGCUAUCCUCAGAAUCCUAUUGGCAACCUCAAUGGAACAACUGCUGCAGCUAAUAGAUCAUCAAAACUUGAAGUGCUUUUCUAUAACAAGGUACAUCUUCUAUUUGUCAAAUGCCUUUUUUUUUUUGCUUAUACUAACCACUUAGUACUUUAAAAGGUUACAUGUUCUUAUGAUGAAUUGGAAUCACCUGUUGACUUAUCAGAGUAAAAUCUGCUACAUUGGUAGAUUUUUAUGACUAAUGCUGUCUGUGGUUCCUGGCUAAUUUUAACCAGCAUAUGUGAAUAAUUUUAUUCGAAUAAUUCCUUGCUAUUCAGAUAAAUCCAUUCAAUGCUUCCUCCCGAAUAGCUUUAACCUGACUAAAACUGAAUAUAAAGGUGCUUUCAGUUUUCUGGAAUCUCAAAAGUUCUUUCGUUAUUGGGAUUUUAUUCAAGAGGAUAAAAAAUUGUUUGGCUGAGUAAAUCUGAAUAAAGUUGAAAAAUGGUGAUUUGUUCAGAUUUAUAGUUGAAAAGUUGUUAUAUUGUUCAGCUUUAUUUAGGUUUAUUCGGGAACCAAACAUGGCCUAAGUUGUAAUUUAAUUAAAUGAGAUAUCAGGAAACUCUAUGAUAUUUUAAGAGUAGUGAUACUCUUACAUGCGGAUCUAUUAAAUGACUUAAACAGACUGAUGUGGCAUUCUGAGAUGGCAUUGCAACAUCAGCUAUUUCUUUUUAAAAGAGAUGGCAAUAUAUCAAGUAGGUUUUUUGUAGCUCGUUGUUCUCUUCCCAUUUUCCAUGCCAUACUGUUUGUCACAUCUAACUACUUGAAGUCACAAUUAUUGUGGUCAUUGAUGGUUAUCAAGUGAUGGCAGUACCAGCUCUCUCACCUCACCCCGAUCUCCUCCCCCUCUUGACCUUCUCUCCCCCUUCCCCUCUUACCAGAAUACACCUACUCCCAGCACACGCUUCUUCUCUCUCCCUUCCACGGCGGUGCUUAAUGAUGGGAAGUCCUCAACGGCUCAACUCCAUCUUCAUGAAUCCAACAUCAAAGCUUUGUCCUCCAUCUCCCUAAUCCCUGACCUCUCCUUGAGUGGUCCAAACUAGACAUGUUCAUGGUCCAGGCCGGGCUUUGCCCAAAAAUUAACACAAUUUGCUGAGGUCCGAGCCGCCCGUCCUGUGGGCCUACUUUCCAGGUCCAAUUCUGGCACUUAUUUAGGCUUCGAGCUCAGGCCUUGGGCUUCCUUAACAAUUUUUCCCAAUUUCUGAAAAAUGCUAAAAAAUACUAAAUACGAAUAAUUAAAUGUUUCUAACAGCAAUUUCAAUGUUUAAAAACUACUCUAAGAAUCUAGAUCUUCUUGUAUUAAAUUACAUAUCAACAAAAUCUUUAAGUUUAAUCAUAAAAAUCUAGAGUUAAAAAAAUUUGGGCCAGGCCAGGCUUUAAUCCUCAAGCCCGAGUCCGGCCCAUCAACUUAAAACCUUGAUCCAAGCCCACCCAAAAGACUUUGGGCUUCACCAAGCUUUUUCCUCUAGGCAUCUUCGAGUUCUUCUACUCCAACCACUUUGACCAUAUAGAUAUGCUCUGCCAGGGUAAUCACUAAAAUGUCAUCAAUCCCAUCGAGCCUCGAGAGAGGAAGGCGUGGGGAGGUUUCUUGCUGGUGACAACGACGACAUUGAUGACUCUCAGUUGGAGAGAAGAUAGAAGGAAAAUGUGAGAACCAAGAUCACAUGAAGAGAGAAGUAGGGCAAGACGCAAGAGAGAGGGGAUGGGAUGCUUUCUGUUCCUUUCUUAAAGAUGCUGAAGUGGCAUAGUAUUUUUUGUUGUUUAGCUAUGUUAUGAUCUGUGUGUGCACGUACAAGUGAACAUGGAGCAUGCUUUAAUUUUCAGUAGUCACACGUUUGGAAAUUAGUGAUGACUGAGUAAAUUUGUCCACAAUUGCAAAUUGAUUUGAAACUUUGAAGGAUUUAUGGCAAACUAUUAUCAAUCCAUCAAAAAAAAAAUCAUGAAUGAACUUAAUUUGCAAACGAGCUUGUUCUUGUUUAGCAUAAAUAAAGAAUGGCCUUUUUUAUUUUUAUUUGUAAAUUACUUGCAUAAAUAGAUAUUGUAACCAAACCCCUCUCCGGAUUCUUCCAUUCUUCAGAUGUCAUAUUCUUUUGUUGUUUUGGGUUUCAAAGUUUAGAUCGAUUCUGGAUUAAAAUAGGUCUGACUCAAAAUCUUUAUCUACAUAUGAUCCUUGUAUGAUUUUACAUGAUUUUUUUCUCAAUUUACUGGUUCAUUCACAUGUUGGUAUAUAUAUUUUUAAUUUCACAUGCAGCUGCAUGCAUUUGUGGAGUAUGAAACUAUUGAGGAUGCUGAGAAUGCAGUAUGUUCUGAACUUCUAUCGCAACUGUGUUUUCCAUUUCAUGUGCACACUUUGAACUUCUUUGGCUGAAGGCUCUAUUUAUUACUGGGCAUACAGGUCACAGAGCUCAAUGAUGAGAGAAAUUGGAGAACUGGGCUUAGAGUUCGUAUACUAUCUAAAUGCAUGGUACUUCCACAUCAUUCUUACAGCCUUUCGUCUUUCUAACACAUUCAUAAUAGUCAUUUUUGUCAUUCAGUACCAAGAAAUUUUUUGUUCCUUGCAAUUACAGAAGAUGGCCUGGCUAAGGUUUGACGAUAUUCUGGACAUCAGCCUAUUUUAACUAGUAUAAUAAUUCAAAGUUAAUGGAUGAUAAUUGCUGGACUGCAUCCAGACUUUGUGAAGCAUGUAAACCUCCUCUCAACCCCUUAAAAAAAUUAAAUUGUUAAUUAAUUAAUAAACUUUGUAUUAAUGGACUAUUGAGUCAUAACUAUUUUCCUUCAAAAAAUUUCAGGGGAAAUAUGUCCUGAAUAUUUUAAAUUUUCUAUGAAUCAUUGUCCAGCUUUUGAUUUUUGUUUAUUUUUAUUUUGGACUGUCAGCUCGGCUUAGGCGGCUAGUGAGUUGUUUCAUCUAUUGCUACUUUUAGUUUUUGUGGAUGAUUUAAGUAGUAAAAUUGCUGUAUUUGUUGAUCAGAUGCUUUAGAAAUACAUGAGAUGUUGGGUCGUAACUCAUUCAGUCAUUUUCUAUUUAACUGUUUAAAAGUAUUCUGUAUAUGGGUCUGCAUGAUAUUUUAUCAAUGAGAUGUUUGGAUGUGAUGCUAAAUCUCUAUGUUGGUGGUGGUGGUGGUGAUUAGUUGAAAUUGUUGUUGCAGGUGGUCGCUUAGGCAGUAAAUGGGCCUUAGAAUGCCUAGGCGACCUUUGCCUAGAUCACCAUAACGUAAGCACCUGCACCACCCAAGUUUUGAGGGCCUUUCUAAGCAGCUGGGUGACAUCUAGGUGGUGAUUUCUGAAUAGGCGUUUGGCCAUUGUUUUAUGUGUUUUACAUGUGUUUUUUUUUCCUCUAUGCAUGUAUAUGCAUCUAGUUGUAUGUUGUAUGUGUAUGCGUAUGCAUUCGCAUGCACAGAGAGAGAGAGAGAGAGAGAGAGAGAGAGAGAGAAUUUGUGCGUCUCAGUGUGUGUUAAACCCUUUGUUUAUUUAAUAUAUACAAGAUCUAUAAAAAGGAAGCAGAUUACUGAGUGGAUGAUUGUCUUUUACAUUAAGUAGUUGCCUUCUGGGUAAUUGCUUUGUUGCCUUGUCAGUCACCUAGGCUAUAGGGCUUGGUCUGCCAACGUGUAUUGCCGGGCUUCUUGGGUUACAAGCGUCGCUCAAGUAUCCUAGUAUAGCAUGUAGAUGCAUCCAAGAUUCCCUAUAGUUUGUAACUGAGUUUUCUCAAUUCUUUCAAGUACAUUGAAUAUGCUAAUUAGGUAAAUUGUAAGUCACUUUGUCUUCCCUUUUCAAAACAGACAAAACAUGGGCCAGGUCAAGGCAGAAAAAUAGGACAUGAAGGUGAUGCAAAUGGAGAUGAAGAUGAAAUUGCCACAACUAAUCAGCCAACUGAGAAGCAAGUGGAGGAUCCAUCUCAGUCAUUUGAGGAUUUAAUGGAGCAUGUGGUAAGCCAUAUUCAUACAAUUUUUUGUCAUUGUCUGAAGCUUAUAGUGCAGCAACACUAGUCGGUCAAACCAAUUUGGAAAGUUCACUCGAGUUUUCAAUGCAUGCUAUGGUUGCUUUUUUUAGGGCAUUCUUAUUAAUGAAAUAUAUAAUCUAUUGAUCCUUCAUGCUGAAACUGAAUUUGUCUCAUCUAGCCCUGGAAGGAGUACUGAAAUAUGGUGCAUCAUGGACAGGGUGAGGAGAAUUUCAAUGACAAGGAUGGCAUGGCAAGGCGCAGCAAGGGGCGGGGACGUGGAGGAAAGGGGCGUGGACGGGGGCAGUACCACCAUAAUGACAACCGUAAUGGGGGCCAUGCUAUUGGCACCCCACCUUCAAGCCACCUAAUCCAUGCUGUUCAGCAGCCGGCGGUUAGCAAGCAACCACCCGGACCUCGCAUGCCAGAUGGCACAAGGGGAUUCACAAUGGGACGAGGGAAGCCACUUAACCCCAUCAAUACAGAUUGAUGGCCUUCAACAUUAGCUUGAUGGCGCUGUACUUUGUUAUGUUGAUUGGGGUGAUUUGGAUAAGAGGGUCUGGAGCAGUGAUUAUCAUCAGGUUUAUCAAUUGCUGUCGGCAUGGUGAGCAAGUGUGAUCUUGGACUUGAUUUCAAAGGAGAAUUUUUUUUCUUUUUUUCUUUUUUUUGAUCCUUGCUCCUAUUUGGGGGGAGUUUUUAGGUGUCCUCCAGGACUGAUGUCAGUUUGUCCUUGUCACCUUGUUACAUUGUUUUUCCUUCUGAUGCUAUUUGACAGUUUAUCAUGUGAAAAUGGAAAGAAAGAAAAUCUAGGAGAGGUUGAACUGGUAAAUGUAGACUGAUAAAUGAUGUCCUCUUGAAUAAUUGAUAUAUUUGUAUGUGAAUCUAUUAUCUUAGCUAUAGAAAAUAAAGCUUGUCAAUAAAUAGUCUUGCUUUGUUUGCCUCUUUGAAUUUUAAUUUGUAAUAAUUUCAUUUUGAUUUUGAUACAGACAAUUAUCAUUAGCUAUAAUUGGCAUCGCAUAAUGUUUGUGCUCCCUUAUGGAGAUGGAAUUUGGCAUCCCCGGAGAAAUUGGAAUUACUUUUCCCCAAAAAAAAUUUGAAGCAAGCAAAAUUCUCUGAACGUUGUCCAUCUGAUAAUCUUGACCUUUCAUCAAGUAUUUGAAGCAAAUCUACGGCUAGCUUCGUCAACACGUCGCGUUGGUAAUGGGAUUGGACAGAUAGCCCAAAAGGUGCAGUUGCAUUAUUUAGGGCAUGUUUGGGGCCUUGCUGUUAUCUCCAACAGGAUCCACGAGAGACGGGAAGUGCCGGGAAAGGAAGGGACCGAGCAGGAGAGACGCAGGGCCCGAUCCCAACCAUGGUAGAGGUUUUUUUUCUUAAUUCCUGAAGGGAAGGGAACAUCCCCAAUGAUCCCCCCCGCACACACCCUCUCUCUGGCUUCUGCUCCCCCACCACCCCCAAAAAAAUACAGAUAACAGAGUACUGAAGUCAUUAUCGAUAUCUGCAGAAAGUUAUUACCGAUACGAGGAGUUACUUCGCAUAUAGUCAUUAGCAUGGACUUUAGUAGAGUGCUCUAAUUCUUGAUUUGCGCACUUUUUGAUGGUGGAUUUUGUGAAACAUUUUUGGAGUGGACACGGAACUUUAGUUCAACUUUUUAUGCAUAUUGUUGUUAGAGCAGAAAAAAAGAAUGCGUUCCCAUAUAAGGUAUUAUCCGCUUUGGGGGCUGAUCAUCAUCGGGCCACUGGCCUAGAUCAGGCGUUAUAUAUCCCUCACAGGUUUUUCCUUCAAAAGCCGCCUCCUAACGGAAAGAAUUUUUGCCCUUCCAUUUAAGGCACAAUUCUUUCCGCUAUUCAAUUGAUGUGGGACUAAUUUAUCUGUUAGAUGAGAAAAAGGGAUGCAUCCCCACAGGCGGUAUUGUCCGCUUUGGGGGCAGAUCAUCCUCGUGCUAGCGGCUUAGAUGGGGCACCAUAUACCUCUUACGGUUUUGCCCUUCAAAAGACGCCUCCUGAGGGAAGAGGUUUUUGCCCCUCCAUUUAAAGCACAAUUCUUUCCGCUACUCAACCGGUGUGACACUAAGUCCAAAACCCCCUCCACCCCCAACAAUUAUUAUUAUUAAUUUUCUCUCUCCAAUUUAUUCUUCUUGCAGAUUUUUUUUCUAUUGUUAUUGUUGAGAGUGAUCCUAAGCUGGUUGAUCUCAUUCUGCAAGUGAUCGUGCCUUUCUACAUACUAUCAAACAAUACGUAGAUUUUCUAAGUAGAGAGCAUAUAGAUCCAUGUGCAACAGUUUUCUUAAUCUUUGAGACCAAGAAGCACCUAUGAGGGCUCUCUUCUGCAUCUAGCAAGAUAGAACAAUUGGAUGCAGCCUAGGGCACUGAAAUUGCCCUUAAAGUAACAAGAGCCUUGUCCUUUCCUAAGGUUCAAUGCUCCAUAGACCACAAUGAAUCCAUUGGCCAGCACUCUCUUCCUCUCCUUAAGUACUGAUUGGAUAGAAUAGAAAUGCGUCUUCUGUUAAGAACAAAGAUAAUAAUUAAUCAGCAUGGCUUUCCGCAAAAUCCUCAUCUUUUUUCUUUUCUUUUCUUUUCUUUUUCUUUAUUUUUUCUUUUUUGUUUGGUGGAAAUAAUGGUGGGAACACCAGCUAUGUAUUUGAGUUCAAGCUUGGAACCUCUCUAUUGGUUUAUUCUUUUUUUGUUGAGUAAUUUAUGUUCCUAUAUUUAUUAUGGUCUUGAUAGAGUUUGAUGCGCAUUGCUUAACUGCUAUUUAAUCUGGGGAAGUCCUGUGAGGACACUGAUCUCUAGCUCGAAGGUCAAGCCCUCAACCACCGAGCUACAUGCAAUACACAUUUUUAUCUUAUAUAAGGAAUUUGUUUUACUUAUUUACAUAUAUUUGGAUCAUUCAUUUGAUAUAAAUUAUAAUAUUUCAUAUUUUAAUUAUUAUUUUUUAUUAAAAAUUCUUUUCUCUUUGAUAAAAGUGAAAAAUGAACAUAUGUUAUUUUAUUCUUUAUGAUAUUUUUAAAAUUUUAUUGUUAAAAUAGUUAAAAUUAACUCCAAUAUACUUCUAUUCAUAUAUAAUUUUUCUUACAAGCUUUCUAUGAAUAGAUAGUCAUGAUUAUUUUAUUUAUUCUAUAAUUAGAAGGUAAUAAUGAUAUUUGAUAAAAAUAACGAUAUUUUAUAUAUAUGCUUUAUCUUAAAUAAUUUUUAUUAUCAAUAUUUUAAAUAAAAAUCUAAUUGAAUUAGCAACCUAGCUAGAUUCUUGACUAGGUCAGUCUCCAUGUCAAUUUAGGAGCUAUACUUUAAAUCCUUAUUAGUUUCCAUCCUUUAUGAUUAUAUAAUUAAUAUCAGUUUUCAUCACUAAAUUUUGCUAAAACUUCGGUUUAUAUUCAAAGAAUAUUCGGCUUAUGUUUUAUAUUAGGAUAGAAAAAAAAGUAUAAAUAACGUCUAACUUAUUUUGGCAUCUGUUAAGAACAGACAUCCAGUUAAAACCUUACUGUUUGUAGUGCAACCUGGUGCAAUCAAGGAAUAAUUAUCAGGUUUAAAUAAAAAAAAGAAUAAGUAUCAAGACUCUCUUAGAGUCGCAAAGAGUUUAGAUGAAAGAACAAGAUGAUAACUUUUGAUAUGAGAAUGUUGCGUUUAUCACAAAGGAACAAAUAUGUUAAAUCAAAAGGAGGUCCAAUAAAGGUGUCUAUUCAUGAAAUAAUUAAUUAAAUACCACUUCAUCUGUAACAUAGUAAAUGUAGGACCAGCAAAAAGUAAUGUAUGCAGAUGAAAUGUGGAUUUCAUAAUAAAGGCCAUGGCUAAUGCUAUUAUACGUUUUUCCCCUCAAAAGAAAAAUGUUGUUAUUUAUCUUAAAUUGCACCAUAUUCUCUAUAAUAUGAACACGAUGGCUAUGCCAUCAUUUUACUCAAAAAAAAUAUAUCAUUAUUUUUUUUUGAAUUUAAAUUCACGGUUCUUUCUUCUUUUUCUUUUGAUAAAAAAUUCAUGGUCUCAAUGUCGCGAAAGUCUAAAAUCUAAUUAAGGUAACCGUAUUUUGGUAGAUCAUAUGCUUCAUGGUGUGUAUGUGUUAAUCGAUGGCGGUUUCUCUAAACUCGAUUGACCUAUGUUAAUAUACAUCAGAAGAAUUAGAGUGAAAAAAUAGGUAGAGCAUAGCUAAGUUAUUUAGUACUUCAAUGCCAUAAUUAAGUAUAAUAAAAAAGCGCCGCUUUAAGACUUAUGACAUGCCAUCUACUUUGAGAACUAAUACUUGAUAUAAUUUAGAAUAAUCCUCAAAGAUGGAGAAUUAACCUGUACCUCGGAGUCCUUCCAUCAAUCCUCAAGGUUGGUGAAUUCCACAUGCUCUAGCCAUAAUUUUUUCCCCUUGAAACAAAAUUAUCUUGGUCUCCGAAGGCUCACUUGAAACCUUUAGAUAGAUCGCACGUGUUCGAAUUUGAGAGAUCUAUUUGCUUAAUUUCCAAGAACAGGAUAUACUCUUGAAGGAUUCAUGGUUGCACUUCCCUAAAUAAAUAAAAUUCCAUCUAGCUUUGCCAAGGUAAGGAAGAUGUUCAGGUCAGUGGAAGUGAUAAAUUCUUGUUCAACUUCUCUAGAUCCUUAGCUCUCAAUCUUUAAUUCAUGCAAUUACAUUAAAAGCCUCUUCGGCUUUUACAAGAGAGUGAAUUAAUUGUAACACUGAAGUCCGCUUCGAUCCCCUCUCCACAUCAAUAGAUCCAUGUGCAAACAUCAAAACCCAUGCAAAUCAUAGACUCAACGUAAGCAGGUAGUCCUUAUCUUGAACUGAAACCAAGGUUAGUCCCUUUCCCAGCAUUCUCUUCAAGGCCAGUGUUAAUAUCAACCUAUAUCUUUAUUCAUCUAUUCCCAAUGUUGCAUUGAGAUUUCCUACGCUUAGAGCCCCUUGACUUCAAGGUUGUGCAGGAACUACUCGAAUAAAUAAAAGAGUCCCACCACAUGCACGAGCCACAGACCUCUCACUCUCUCUCAGCCUUCAAUGUCUUUAAUGGGCACGAGACAGAAAGGAGUGUAUUUAGGGAGCAUGAUACGGGGUGCAAUGGUGUUCUCUCCUUUUCUUUGCUCAUCGUUUCCUUCCCCUCAACAUUUCCUCCCCCUCCUCUCACUCUCCAUUGCUGGGAAAGCGUGCAACUCGCAAGACUCCAAGAAGGAACAGUCAAAAUAAAGCCCAUGGUCUUGGCGCUUUCCCAUAAAUGCCUCCAUCCCCCACCAUUCAAUACACCCCCUCCUCCCUCUCAUCUCUCUCUCUUUCUCACUCUCACUCUCACACACACACGCAUUUUUAAAACAGGAUUGAUCACAGUUAUCUAUGUGCAUACCUCUGUUCCCUCCUAUGGACAUUUAAAUUGUUCUCUUUGUAGGGAUCAGAGUCCAUUACUUUACUCUGGACCGCUCUUCCUGGUGGGGACUGGAGUUGAUUUGUCUCUCUUUCUUCCUUCUCUCUUGAGGCCUUAAAUGCCUCUCUUUUCCCACCUACACAUACACCCGAGCGCGUGGGGGUGUCGGAAUAUCCCCCGACCCUCGAAGCCGUCCCUCGCAAAUACCACCACACAUACUUCCCAACUCCAAAAACAAAAACCCACCCACGCCGCGGGAGCCGUGCGGGAACUUUGAAACGUUGGAGCUGCGCUUCUCUUCUUUAUUUCUUCCAUUAAUGGCCCAUGAGGCUACCCAUCCAUGCACGUGGGUGUCCGUCGUGGCCCUCCAAUCAGGGCCGUACGCUGCAUGUGCCUGAUUAGACGCAUCGUGGGUCGAGGAGGGGCGGCUUUGACUUGGGCCGUGCUCUUCUUUCCUGGUGGGUGGAGCCCACGGAUCGCUAGCUCCUGUCAUGCAUCUAGUUCACACCCCUCUUUUUUUUAUUAUUUUUUAUUUGAUAAAUCAAAUAUGCCGCACCAUCCUUGUAUAGAUAUAUUUAGAAAAUAAAAAUAAAAGACUCAAAAAUUGAGCCGAAACGUCUGUUAUGGAAUCCCAUAAUAUAAUUCUAAUAUAGUUGGCCACAUGAACCACCAUCCAAUCAAUUAUACUAUUAGCUUCUCAGAAAGUCCAUUAUUCGCCAGCAAUCACAGAAGAAUGAGAUUUGAUUCUGCAGAUAACGAAGUUAUGCUCUAAAUGAAUGUGGGAAGCUCUUAAGUUUCUAUAGCAUGAGUCAGGUCUUUCCAUGCAAUUUUUUGAAUGCAUAUGCAUAUACAUAUAUGCCCAACUCAAUGAGGGCAUAUACCAAGGGUCAAGUAAACUAGAACUGUGAAAAAGCUACAGUUGGCCGGCUUCUGUUUGGAUCCAUUACCCCAUAAAAAGUUAAAAUUCUAAUAUUAUUUCUUAUUAAGUUAUGAAAAGGGGGGAAAUAUUGGACAUCUUCUCCAUUAGCAUUUUGACUUUCUUGUGUAUAAAAUCCACCAAAGCUCGUACCAAUAUAUAUAUGAUAUGUUGCAUAUAUCUUAAUUCGACUGUAAAUUCAUAAAUUAAAAUUUAUGACACUUAAAGGUUUCUUUCUUUCAUUCAAAACAGUGGAUGAUCCACCGUGCUUUUCAUUGACAAAUGAAUUAUGCAUAAUAUCGAUCUUAUGAUAUAUUAAUGGUUCAAUUAUAUCUAAACAUGGAGGAAAGCAGAAAAUUGAGAGCAGUGUUAAUGGAUCCAAGAUUACUUCACAAUUGCCUACUCACUGAGCUAAGUUAUUGAGACGUGUGUGAGCAAUAGCAUAAGCAUCGAAAUGAACAAAUUAAUAGGCUUGGCACUAUGGCACUCCAACUUGAGCUCGUGACUUUUGACCCGGAGCAUCACUAGAAAGACUAGCAAAAAUAUGUGAGGUGCUCUUCUUGUUACAAUAGACUGAGAGCAUAUAGCAUGAGUCAAAAUGGUGAUGCCUUCAUGAGUCCAACCAGCAGAAUUCUUUAACGAAUGUAAGGAACAUAAACUAUUCAAUUUGACUUCCACAUUUCUCCAGAAGAGUAAAACUAACUCGGUACCAUUUUUGUUUUGCUAAACAUUCUGCAGUCAACACAUGCGCGACCAAAGUCCUGUAAAAUAAUGUUGUGAACAUAGCAUCAUGUGGAGAAGAAAAAGGAGUUAUCAAAGUGAGCAGUGGCAUAAAAAAAAUCUUGAACAUCUUUACUAUCAGUUGUUCAAGCCAACUUAGACCGGACCAUGCCGAUUUGAUUCGCAAGUUCCAUGCAAAGAGCAAAAACUUUUUUGGUUUCGAAAAAAAAAAUCACUAAAAUAUUUUUUCUAAAGAUCUGUUGCCUAAAUAUAUGAUAUCUAAAAAAAUAGUUUUUACAUGUUUGAUUGACUAUGAAAAAGUGGCAUAAUAUAAAAUUUUUAUAUUUAAUUAAACAUCUAUUUUUUUGGAAAAAUUAUGUGAAAUACUUAUUAUACUUUUAAUAAAAAAAUCUAUUGAAAACUUAAAGGCAUUUUUAAAUAAAUAUAUAUAUAUCUUAAUUUCCAAGCAGUGGUAAUUAAUUUUUUUAUAUUUUAUAUAAAUUUUUUCAUAAAAUAUAAAUAAUAUUUUUUUUUCAGCUCUCUCUCUCGUACCUUUUUUUAUAAUAUUUUCAUCUCUUUUGUCUCUGUGAAUCAAAUGAGCUCUAAAGCCACCAAGGUGGUAACCUGGUGGUAAGGGGGCUUGAACUCCAUCCAAGUUGUUUGGGUUCAAAACGUGCGGGCGUCGAUUAAAUCAGGGAACCGCAUGCCCCACGCUCGGAUGGCUCUGUAUGGAUAUACUUUCCUUCCAUCAGUACUCAGGUGGCGCUGUGGUGACGUACUCACAUGUGAAUGGCCCAAUAAGAUUUUCCACGGAUUGGGGAGGGCAUACGAAAACUUGUAAUCCACAUUGAAUAUUUUCUGGCGGAAGGGGGCAGUUGCAGGUGGGUUCUGCCCCUCCCUCUCCCCUCCAAUUUUUUACCAAAAAAAAAAUAAAUCUAAAAAGUUAUGUACAAAAGUACGGAAACAGCGAGCACCAUACAUGGAUAUAUGGGUGAACAGGCACGUUUAUAUCCCCCGUGUGGUCCCACCUGAGUCGGGAAGGGCAGAACGAGGGGCGCAGCAGGAGACGUGAGCAGGUGGGCAUGCAUUUAAGGAUGGGAUCAUCAUUGCUUGGGUACAUCAGCUUUGACUAUCUUUUGCAUGUGUGCAUAUCUCUAGAGACAUAAAGAGAGAAACAAGUGUUCUCUCUCCCAAGUCUCAGCUUUUCUUUGGAUUUUUGCUAGCUGGCGGAGAUUGGUGACGGUAAGAAUGCUGUAUGACAUUAACUUUCUCUGCAGAACGGCAUUUUGGGAAGGCUUCAUGGCUCCCUUUAUCGAUGGCUCUCUCUCCCUCUCUCUUUCAAAGUCCUUGUGAAAUGUCUCCUGCUCUCCUCUGAGAAAUGCCUUCUGCCUCCUCAAAUCCCCAACUGAUCUCCCUACUCGUGUCACUUUUCCAUCACUCCACAAAGUCACGAGAGAGCGAGCCAAAAAAAGAAGGUGAAUCGUAAACUCAUUCGCANNNNNNNNNNNNNNNNNNNNNNNNUUUAGAGAACGGAAAAAGAAAGAACCUUGCAGACUUGAGCAGAAAUGGGCGACCGCCAACUCAAGAGGAAUCAUUAUAAAACCUCUCAUGCUUCCCAUAAAUGUUUUCAGCUUCAACUCACCGUACUAAACUUUUGGGCUUCCCUCAAAUGCUUCUCAGUCUCCAUCACAAUUGAAUCGGUCAAUAUAUUCAUUCCAUGUACCUUUGUCUUUGGAAAUUGACCACCAAUAUGGACUGUGGUUGACCUAGCCAUAUGAUGGUGAUCGGUGGGGACUGAGACCUAGCUUUCUUAUUGACAAGCAGCAAGACAAUAUCUUCUAAAGGCCGUCAGAAUUUAAUGGGUACAGAACUAAUGUAAGAUUUGAUAAUGAUGGGAAAACUGAUGUCUGCCGAAGGAAAGGUAUCAUCACAUCGACCCUAUUAUAGAUUUCCCAACCAUCCUUGCCCAUAUAAUACAUUCUGUAUGGAAAUCUUCUUUCCAUGGGAUAAGCAUUCCUUGACUCAACCACAUGAUGGUUGUCAUGAGACCUACCUUUCUUAUUGACAAGCCUCGAGCCAAUAUCUUCUCAUGACCAUCAGAAUUUUAUGGGUACAGAGCUAUGGAAGGUUUGAUAAUGAUGGGAAAACUGAUAUCCACCUAAAGAAAGGCAUCAUAUGAUGGAUGUUUAUAAUUCUAUUGUCAGCACUUUGAUCCUACCCAAGAUUCCACAACCAUCCUUGCCAAUAGAAUACAUUCUUGCAUAUAUGGAAAUCUUUUUGAGUGAUAAGCAUUCCAUGCGUGGUUUAUUCAUCAUGGAAAUAGCACCCAAAUAUUCCAACAGAUCUACAAUUUGUUAUAAGAUGCAAGAAGAAAGAAGAAAUCCAAUCCACCAAAACAAUGCAUUAAAAGUGGUGGAUAUGAUUCCAAAACAAACAGCUCCAGGUGGGUCCCUUCUGCAGUCAAGACAAUAUAUGUGAGCUAAUGGUAAAUUUUGGGUCAAAGUGGUAGAUUUUCUUCCCCCCCAACAAAAGCAAUUCUUCUUUCUUCUUUGCAUCUAGAACAAUUUGAAAAUAACUUACAAAAUUCUGUUAGCAGGUAAUAAAUAUCAUUACAACAGAAAAGGGUAAAGGAGUUCAAAUAAGAAAGCCACGUAUCCAAGGGAGGAAAACAGCAACUAGGACUGCCACUAUAACAAGCACUGGGAAUACAAAAUGUCCAACUCGCUAGAUCAAGAAGACAGGAUAAAAUAAACAGCACUGAGAGAAAACAAGAGGGAAAAAGAAAAAUCUAUUUUCUGUAAAUGUAUUGAAACCAAAAUCCAGGCCUCUUUGUCAAUUCUAACUCUCUCUCAGUUUCAUCAGCAAGGAUCCAUCCUUCCAAGUCCUAUACCUGCAGCUCAACAAUAUACAUAAACUUAAGUUUUAGAUUUUCUGAACACAAAUCCAAAUAAUGCAAUUUUGCAAGAUGCUUUUCUGGAAGGAUUUUUUUUUACACUAGUUUCUGUCAAUGAAACUGUGAUCCAAAAGUGUAACCUGAUGAAAUUUUCAACAAAAAACUUGGAUGUCAACAACACAAUAUAUGGUUGUGAUCAGGCAUGGCAUGUACUCACAAGCACCCCAUGCCAAAGCCAUAACAAAUUUGUCUUCAUUGUGGAAGAAACGAGAAGCUGGAAGAAGUAUUUUUAAUAGUAGAAUUUCCAUUAUAUUUCCAAAAUAAACAUUCUUCUUUUUUGUUUUUUGGGAAAACAAGUGAGGUCGUGGAAAUAUACGUCGAAAUUAAUAACGAGCUUCUCUUUGGAGCAUAAUAUAUAUCUAUUUGGAAUAGAGGCAGAAAUUAAGAUCCACCAGUUAACUUAAAAUGAAAUAUAUAUCUUAUUAUAACAAAAACUAGCUAGCCGACCAUUCAAUUUUUAAGCCUUUGAUUCUGAAAAGUUCUCUACGACGAAGGGCCAAUCCACCUUAAACUCCUUCCUUCAACACACAGUUAUGUUAUCUGGUCCUAUAGUGUGAAUGCCAAUAUCCUAGUUAGGUAGCAGCAUAAUUUACUCCCAACUUCUCCAAGCAAUAGCUUUAUGAUUCAGAUUCUCUUUCCUUACAGUAGCAAAUUAAGGAUUCUUCAAAAUUUUAACAAAAAUUUCAUCAUGCUAUCAUUCUUCUAUGCAUUUGAAACAUUAUCAUGACUGGAUACUUCUAAUUGCUCGCUAGUUUAAUAUAAGAGCAUGUCAGAGAAUGCCAAUUCCUUCCUCUUGUACUAACAACUGCCGACUUCCUUUUACCUGCAUAACUUAAGAUUCUCAAGAUGCUCUAUAUUACAUGGUUAAGAUCAAAGCAGGAACGUGGGAAGAUAUAAAAAUAUCUCGUCAAUCUUGUAAGAGAAGCGAAAGAUUAUUAGCAGCUAGAGGAGUUUGAAGCACAGAACUCUCCAUCUCUACGGUGCUCUAGAAUCGGCUAACCAUGUUAUCCAAAAUGACCUUCAUCUCUUAAAGCGUAACCAUUCAAAGAUAACUGGCAGAUAUGUCAAACUUAAAGAAUGAAAUAGACAAAUCAUCGUCAUUAACUCGCACUAUGUACGUAGUAUGAAUUACUCGAUGCAGAUUAAUUCCAGAUUAUCUACAAUGAUUUUUAUCUACCAGACUGAGUUCGAUCAGGUCUUAGAUAAUUACAUAGAACAGUGCAUGGCUACACUACUUCUCCCAAUGUAUUUGACCUACUUAAUUGAAACCCACCACCUCAUAUUUGAGCCAAAGUAGCUAGUAACUUGUCACAAAUUCGUGAUAACUGCUAAAAUUCCGCUCUAUUUCUCUUCUUAUCAGUUAUGAAACUAACAUUACAUGUAUUUAUAUCAUCUCAUCACUAUAAGCGAUGCCCUACCAGCCUACCAACUUCGUACUCUCCUAGGAAAUUAUACAUGUAUAUAUAUAUAUAUAUAGUUUGGCUACUUUUACAUAUACGAGUACUGUUACGAUAUCAUGCAGCUAAUUACUCUCAAGCUAUUACCUUUGACUGCUAAUGCAGAAGAACUACCCUUGACACUAAAAUCAAAUAGAAGCAUACUGUUAUCAUAGAAGGGGAAGCAGUGAGAAAAUAAGGGUAGUAAAAUAUAUAGAGACCUGCGAGGACAUCUACGACGACGGCCGGACGCUCGGCCGCUCAUCCUUGCCCGGCCGAACUUGGCUUCAUGAACUGCCCACCCAACGGCCCUAUGCUCGCAGCUGACGCAUUCAGGGCGGCGACAAGUCCUGCUGCAUCAUACGCUCCAUUCGCACCCAAUCUCGCCACCAGCUCGCCGUCAUAAUUCCUCAUCAUCAAGUGGUGGUUGGGACGGGGGUCCCGGGCAUUUCCCGCCGGGAAGAGCUGCUCCCGGCCGAACCCGAUCCCGCCCACCCCGAUUUGGUGAUCGGCACUAACGUAGCCAUGCACGCCGGCGCUCGGCAGCCCGCCGCUGAAAUUGGGGGCGGAUGAGCCAGCGGCGGACUUGUACUUGGAGAGCUCGGACUUGGCGCAGGAGAGGUCCAUCUGUAGCUGGCGGAGCUGGUGCUGGAGGAUGGAGAUGACGCCGACGCAGCCAUAGACGGGGUCCCGGAGGCGCAUGUCGGCCUCGUAGGCGAGCGAGUUGACGGCAUCCUCCCGCUGGUACGGGUGCAGCUCGUUGAGCAGCUUCGUGACGUUGCUCGCGCCGAAGACGCGGUGCACGUGCACGAACUUCUGCGGCUGGUCCGGCGGGAAGUAGGGCGCGAAGACGCAGUCCGGCUGGCACUUGCGGCGGAGGAACUUGCAGGCCGCGCAUGGCGAGCUGGCCGACGCGGCCGUCGAAGAUGAUGCCGCAGCCGAUGACGCCGGGACCGGGGCUGACGACGACGCCAUCACCAACUAUCCCUUCCGAUCUCUUCGCUCGAAUACCUUUUCAUUACAUGAUCGAUAUAUAUGAACGAAAGAAAGAAAGGAAAUCGGUAUAAAUAUGGCAAGAAGAGAGAGGGAAGGUUUGGUGGUGAAACGAUACGUGAUCGUUUAGAAUAUGGGAUGAGAAAAAGGGAAUAAAAAGAAAAAGAUUUCGAUCCUGGAAUUUGUUUUGCCGACAAAUCCCACGAUCCAACUGUAAAGAUAAAAAAAUCUUAUAAUUGGAAAGGAUGAGCAGAGAACAGAGGCGUCCAGCGUUCUUCUCAAAUCUACCAUCUGCAGCUUAUUCUAUUUUAUUUUAUUGAAGUUUUCGAGAAGGAGAGAGCGACCAGGAGUGGGACGCGUUGGUCUCCUAUGAGUAAUUUAUUAGUGAUUUUUUUUUAAGCAAUAACGAGAGAUGUAAAUAAAUAUCUAGCAUGAGCAUUUUUCUUGGAGUCGAUGGUUGGAAAAGAGAGAAAGAGAGAAGCGAGAAAGGGCGGCUAUCGGAUCCGACGGCGACGGCGACGGCGACGGCGACGGCGCGGUUAAAAAGAGAAAGCUCACCUUUUUAUUCUUUCUUGUUUGGCCGGGUCCCGCCCUCCGCUCUUCGCUGCGCCUCCUUUUCGCCUCCCUCUUUUUUAUUCUCCGAGUAAGCGAGGGCUGCACUAGAUUCGAUUGGAUUAAAGCCAAAGCCAGCGGAAGGGAGGGGAGUUUGGGAGUGGGACGGGGAGGAGAGAGAGAGAGGGAGAGAUAAAAGAGGGGGAGCGAGGCGAGAGAUAAGCGGAGGCGAAGCACAGAAAGAUGGUGGAGGGGAGAUGGAAAGGCGAAAAAUAGGAGGAGGAGGAGGAGAGAGAGAGAAGGAAAUGGAUGUAUAUGUGUUUGUUUUAGUCACGCGAGACGGGAGCAGGAGAGAACACGGCGGUGGGAGAGAGAGCUGGUUUCUCCUUCUCCCCUCUCUCUCGACGCUGGGGAGUAAAUAAGGAAGGGAAUAAAUGGGAUUGGGGGGUCCCGGAAGGACGACUGGGGUGGUCGCAUGGCCAUGUCUCAAUGAUUUGACGCUUUCGCCCCAUUCUAAACCCAUAAUCUGAAAUAACGGCUUCACCCUCUUCAUCCGUGGUCCUUGUAAAUUUAUUUUUAAACAUGCAAUUUUUUAUUAAUAUUUGGCAUGAAAUAUUAGUAUAGAAAUUAGUGUUUGAUUGGGAAUAUUAGUAUAGAAAUAUUAUACACGAUAGAAGAAGUAGAGGGAGAAAGAUUAAGACUAUAUGGCAUGGAUACAAAUAAUCUGAACAAAUUUCUAUACGAUAUUACUAGUUUACUUCUCUUUUUAUUUAGCAAACCCAAGCUAUAUAGGGUUUGUGUCUGAAAAAUAAACCUAGUGAGAUACUAGGAUUAUUUGGAUCCUGAAAUUAAAGCCAAUGUAUUAUAGGGUUGGGCUUGAUUUUAGGUGGACCCAAACCCAAAUUUCAGAAUAUUAUAUGAUUGGCUUUGGUGAUUGCUUGACGGCUCUCUUAUCACCAUCCAAGGUUUGACCAUAGAAGCAAAAGGUUUGUAGUUAGUCCAUCUAUUCUAUCCAUUCAAUUUGAGCUUCUCUAUAGAAGAUGAUAUGCUAAAAUGGAGGUUAUAUAUUUAUAUACAAAUAUAAUUUAUUUUUAUUUUUAUUUUUUUAAAAAAUAAUUAGUACAGAGUAGUUGAACCAUAAUUCACUUGUUCUUCUACAUUCCUGUCCAUGGCUCAUGGUUUGAUAAUCCGAACCAUACUAGUUCAUCUGAAAAAUGAAUUAGGUUUGCUAGGGUUAGAUUUUGAAAAUUUAUUAUUUGCAGAAUUAAAUAGUUUGGAUUUAGUAAGACACUUCCUGGAGAUAAAUAAUAUACAAGAAUUUUAUAAGAUAAUUAGAAAUAUAAGAAGAGAGAUUAAUAAUAUCUAGCAUAUCUCGAAAUAAUUUCAGCAAAAUCUAAACUAUGCAGAUUAGUUCAUUACUUCGAACUGAUUUUUAUUUUGCCUUUGUUUUCGCAAUUAGGUACCUAUAAACUAUAAUGAGAUCGUUUUAGCAAUUAGUUACCUAUAAACUAUAAGGAGGGUAAUAAAUGUUAUAACAAUUUUUUAGUCCUCCAUGUAGGUAUAGGAAUGUCAACAAGUUGAUCCACAGGCAACAUUUUAUGUCAUUUCAUGCUAAGUCAAUUCAGUCAGGAUCAUUGCUCAAAUUUUUGAAUAUGCUCUUAGUGUAGCCCAUGACAUUUUUAGUCAUGUUAUAUGGAGGGUAAAAUAGAUAUUUUACUGCACAUGUGAAUGCAUCAGACCGCACCUGGUUUACAACUCUACAUGUAAGUGUAUCGGCACAAAAAUAUUCAAAAAAUCUAUCUUUUCUAGUAAUCCCAUAUUUUCAUGAGGCUCCAUAACAUGUGGCUGCAAUAUUCGCACUUCUAUAAUAGUUCUAUAUACUUUAAAUAAGGGAUUUUUCUGCAUAUAUAUCUCUACUAAUCUGACUUAUUCUAAAUGCAUUCGGUAAAAAUUACUGUUUAGUGGUUGCCAACCUAACACUCUUAUAAUGCUUCUAUUUUAGAUAGUAUGGUUUUUUGCAUAUAUGUAUAUACAAAUAUAGUUUGCUGCAAAUGUAUCGUCAAAAAUCAAUAUUUGCAUAUAUACACAUCAUUUCAGUCUAUCAACACUAGCAUGCUUGUAAAAUUUUUGGCUAUCAAUAACAAUAUCCAUCCAUCCAUCCAUCCAUCCAUAUAUAUAUAUAUAUAUAUAUAUAUAUAUAUAUAUAUAUAUAUANNNNNNNNNNNNNNNNNNNNNNNNNNNNNNNNNNNNNNNNNNNNNNNNNNNNNNNNNNNNNNNNNNNNNNNNNNNNNNNNNNNNNNNNNNNNNNNNNNNNNNNNNNNNNNNAUAAUAGAAUUAUCUUAUACUUAAAAUGACUACAUAUUGAUGCCAACAAUCAACAUUGUAACAUGAUGGGCAACACUGCAAAAUAGUGUAAAUCAAGAGCAAUAUAUGCAAAUACAGAUUUUUGAUGGUUACACAUAAAUAAACCACAUUGUAGGGGUAUGCAUGUGAAAAUUCCUAAACCAAUAUAUCCCUCAUGAUUCAUUUUUCAUUUUGUGUGUGAGAAACUAGAGAAGUGCACAUUCUAUAAUGAGACUGUAAUUAUCCACAAAAAUGACUUUAAUCAAAUUAAAGGAUUGCAAUGAUCCAUAGUAGAUUCUACAUGCAUCGCACAUGCCAAAUUAUAUUAUUUAUUAUAUAGGAAGCAUAGCAACUAUUCCUGUAGUUAAAUAUCUUUAUAAAUUUUAAUCCCAAGAUAAUUCCAAAAUCAAAUUUUAUCUUUCUCGACAAAACCAAAAUUUAUUCUUGAAACAGUAGCAUAAUAAGAAACACAAUUAUUUUAAGUUAUAUUUUCUUUUUGAGAACAAAGAUGGGGUCGCUCCAAUCAUUUCAAAUAAAUGAUGUAACUUACUCGGGUCAAAUUAUUGUCAGAACAUAUUUGCUGAUUUAAACUUGUAAAAUCCUCCAUUGGAGAAGAGCUGCAAUAGCUAUGUUUGAAGUCCAGUUUCCGACUAAUAAUUUUAGUUAUUUCUUUUACAAACACAUAUCUAAUUGGCCGCCACUAUUAUGAGAUACUACUACUACUAUUAUUAUUAUUAUUAUUAUUUUGGAUGGAGUCCACUGGACUUAUUCAUUCAACUGUAUCUCUCCAGUACAAGUUUUGUAAUUUGCACGAUUCUUUCCUCUCAAUUAAUGAGUGGCCCUUAGGCUGAGACAGAAUGGUAUUAUUGAGAGUGGCCCUCUCUCUCUCUCUCUCUUCNNNNNNNNNNNNNNNNNNNNAGUGGCCGUCCUCUCUCUCUCUCUCUCUUUCUCUUCCCCAACCCUGCUCUUCACUCUUAAUUGAGAUAUUAAGAGUGGAAAAUUAAAUGAACCUUAAGGGUGGAAAAUUUAAAAGUGAAAAUUAAACGAACCUGGGUUUAAAUACAUGUAUGACAUUAAAUGCAGAUAUGGUAUGAUCCUCUCAUCACCUUAUUAGAUCCCUCUGCAUUGAAUGCAAUGAUAGCCACAACUCAUAACACCUCCAUUCCCUCCCCGACACAAAAGCAAAUAGUAAUGAGAAUAAUGACGACGUUAUCGCUAGACUGGAUUUAACAGGAGGACAUGGAAGAGGCAUGCUGUGGGUGGAUCCCUCCAUUUAGAGCGAUGGGGUCAGGAUGGCACAUCAAAUAUGGUGACCCUUCGACGGACUUUGCGCUCUGCCAUGGAAUAAUAAGCGGCCAAGCUAGCUCGCAAUUAAUUUCUUUUACAUAUUCUACCACUUGAAGUGUCAAGCUUCUUCGUGUACAUGCCCAGAAAAAUUAAACUAGAUAAUUAUUAUUUUUGAACCUAAAUUUUCUAUGUAGAUGUGCAUCAUAUAUACUUUUGAUAGGAAAUUUCAUGUUCACAAGAAGACACUCUCAUUCUUAAUGCAAACAUUACAAUGAUGUAUGUUUUCAGCAGCACACACACACAUAAAAGAAAAGCUGCUAAAAUUCAUAAAAUUGUCUCUAAAUGUUUAUAGUGAUAAACUCGUGCUUGAGAGGGAAAGUAGCCCUUAUAGACACCAUAGUUAAAGUUUUGGCAAAAAUAUUUAUAUUUCCAUACUUCAAAAAUUAUAGAGGCAAAAAGAAAUUGCCGUUGUAAAUAGAAACUUUUAAAAGAUACUUUUUUGUCACUAUAGAAUAUUUUAGAGCAAAUUAUUUUUUCCGUUAUAUAUGCAAAUUGUUUGUAGAGGCAAAUACUAUUUGCCAUGAUAAAACUCAUAACUGAAAAAUUAUUGUUCUCGUAGUGAAACUUAACUCUUUCAAUAUGAUGACGAGCCGAGGUUAAAUUGAUUGACUAAAUGGUAUAAGUAUUGUUGGAAUUUUGAUUCUAGCUGACUUGAAAUAGUGUGAGAAUAUAUAACAUGUGCCACCUGCUUAAUUAUGUACCAUUUUAACCUACAAAGGGUCUAUCCAUACAGAUAAUAUAUAUGCAUUGUGCAGCAUCAAAUGCAAUGAUUCGAUUUUCUUCAUCCUACUGGAAGUUUCACACGAUGAUAUUUGUGUUAAUAAUGACUAACCAACACAUGCACUUGAUUCAAACGAGGUUGUAACUCUAUAAUUACACCCCUCCAUUUUGAAGUCAUUCUAGGUUCAAACUAGGUUGUGUUUUCUCAAGUGUUUGGCAGAGAUCGAUUUUAGUGUUCGUGAGUAUCGACACUAGGCCUGAUAAACUUAAAACCUACUUGCACUUGACCAAGACUCCAUAUGAAAUGACUUGGAAACUUUUGGGUUCAUUAUGCUCCAAGGUUAGAUCCUUAAAGCAUCUUAGGUUAGGACUCUUAUACCUCUAUGCUACAUUUAGUUCCCGAAAUGAGUAUUGGAAUGGAAGGGAGAUUCUAACUCCGGCCCCGCACACGCAUUUGGUAUGACAAUAAAGGAUAGAAUCAUAUUUUCUUUGAAAUAAUUAUUCUUUCAUUUGAUGAAAGGGCAAUUUUACUUAUACAUAGAAGGAAUUGUUAUUCUCAUGAAAAUAGGAAUUAGUGAUAUUGUUGACAAAAUGGUAACAAAUAGCAUGUUUUGAUAAGAAUUAAUUAUCUGUGAUCAUGAUAUCAAAUAAAAAUAAAUAAUUUAGUAUACAUUUAAUUUGACACAUUAUUUUAGUAAAUAAAAAUAUCAAAUAGCAUGCAUUGUAAUCUUAUAUCAACCAAUACUUACAAAGUUUUGCUUUGUAUCAUAUACAAAUAAAUGCGCAUUGGUGCAAGUUAAAGAAAAAAGAAAGAUAUAAAUAUAAAUUAUUAGAUAGGAUUGAAUACAAAAGGCAAAAACAUAUUAAAUAAAAAUAACAAUUAAUAUAAAUUAAUAAAUAAAAUAUAAAUGAACUAAACAUUAAAAAAUAAAUAUAUCAACAUAAAAACUAAAGUAUAAAAAUAUAAAUAAUUGAUCUUAAAAUUUAAGGUAGUGGAUUUAAAUUAAAGGUAUGGAGAAUAGUAAAUAACAAAUAAUUACUAAAAUAUAAAACCCAAAAAUUUAAUAUACAUUUAAAAAAUUAAUAUAAAAUAAAUAUAUAAUCAAUUAAAUUAUCUAUUGGAAUUUAAUUGCUAUUUUUUUUACCUGAUAUUUUUUUUUAAGUGUAUAUAUAUAUAUAUAUAUAUCAAUCUCAAGCUCACCUUCGGAUAUCAGGUAUCAAAAUUAUCAUUAUCAUAAGUUAAAAAAUUUUUAAAAGAAGUUAGCUAUUAUGAUACGAUGUAAAUUAAUAAUAAUCCUCUUAACAUGAAAAUUCACAAUCCUACAUGUAAGGAAAAAAAAUAAACAGCUGCGUACUCUUAUAUGCAUAUGAUAGCACCAGCGUUUAUGCCGCGACAACUAGUAGAAUCAAAACAAAAGCAAGACGGAAAAGAAAAAGUUAGAUCCUUGAAUGCGUGAAGGUAGGGCAAGGUAAUGCGGAGAAUGCCACGACUCAACUAUGUUUAAAAUCCUUCUUAGGGAUGGCACGUGUAACCCGUUAUAAGAGUCAGGGAUGUAGAGAGAGAGAGAGAGAUAAACUAGACAGCUAGGAAGAGAAGACAGCUUGGAGGGAGAGGAUAUUACAUGUCGAAGAAUGAUAUAGAAAACAUCUCAAUUGUGCUAGCACGAAACUAGCUUAUCAACGCUGCUGUUACACUAGAAACAGUCUCUAAGAUCUAUAGGCCAAUUACACUCUCCACUAUUCUGAAAGCCUCAUCUAUGUAGGUAAGGCAGGGUGGGCGAGCACACCCUGGCAUGCUACUACAUGUACAUGGAUUAGACGGCUCGGAUGGUGUUGUCUUACCAUAAAUGAGCUCUUUUCUCCACGGACUCUCCCCGCUUUGCGCACGAGUUCUUUCCAAUUUAAACAAAAAAAAUUAACUACUUUUAUAUGUAAUCCAUUUUCGUCCCCAUUUUUUUAUUUUCCCGGAAGCAAAAAGUGAUAGGGAGGAUCGCGUACUUCUCGCGAGUGCAGAGCGUACGACGGGGGACGCGGAAAGGAAGGCUGAGAGAGAGAGAGAGAGAGAGAUCCGUCCCUUCGAGGUGACCCGUCCUUAAUCUGACCGUGACGUAGACAACCCACACGCCCCGCCGGGCCACCGUCCGGUUUUCAGGUUGACUUCAAGCAUCGGCUGCCGUGAAGUAAAAAAGAAAAGAGAAAUAGCGACACGUCAACGUCAGUACGUUCCUUUCCUCGCGAUGCGUGCUACAUAUAUUUAUAUAUUUAAACUUCUUCGCUUUAAAAAAAGCUUUUACCCUGCAGGAGUUUCUUGGGGGAGGGAAGGGUAGGAGACAAAGGUUCAUGGCGUUGGAAGAAGUAACCGUACACUUCGCCUAUCGAUUUGAUGUAUGUUCUCGGCUUCACGUACUGAUAUGGCAAGAUGAGGGAGUCUAUGGGGAUUUACGUUUUGCCUUUUGGUUGUUAGGUGUGGAGGGAUUACGGGGCGGUGGGGGGACAAAACGGAGGGAGGCUGUGGAUGGGGCGGUGGAGUUGUCGCAAACGGAUGUGGGCAUGAGCCAUCCCAUCAUAGGGAUCGCCAUGGUUGCAUCAUGGGUGAUGGAUGCUAAUGUUGCUCCAUAUAUGAACUCCCUAAACUUUUUCUUACACUAAGCAAAAAAAAAAAAACUUUUUACUUACUCAUGCGUCAAGAGAUGGUUGGUACGGUAGAGGAAAGGGCGGUCGGAUCUUGUCAUGCUAUGCCUGUGCAAUGCUGGCAUCAAGAAUUAAUACCUUUUGAAGGAAGACUUCCGCUCGUUCUAUAGCUUUGAAACUGGAAUAUAGGUUUGCAAUGUAGAGUGGCGUUACGUGCCGUGGCAUAUGUACCAGUAGUUGCUCAGAGAUUCCAUAGCUCACAGCAAUGAUACUGACUCGAAAUACUUUGAGAUUCCUAGCCUUAGAUUUUUGAUUGCGGGUUUCUCCAGGAUGUUGCUGCAAUAAACACUAAAGAGAAGCACUGCUGCAUCAUAGGGAACAUUGAUAAGCACGCCAUAGUAACCCCGGAUCUGGAUUCCCUCCAGGAUGGUAUAAUGGAUUAAAUAUUGCUGGUAGUUCAAUUGGCAAUGAUGCAUGUUUGGUCAAUUAAAUUUCAUCGUUUGUGUGGAUAUUGCCUCUUCAUGAUGUUAACCAAGAUACAGCUACAAUCAGGAUUGAAAAUAACCGCUUCGCAGUGACCAACUGAAUAUAUUAUUGACAUACAAAAACGGGUCAAGUUUCAAUUCUUAAGAACUUAGCCCUCCGAUUAUGAUGAUUUUGCCACUUUUUAUUGGCUAUUUUUUUCCUAAUAACCGACGCUUUAGCGAGACUUGAAUACGGCAAGAUACAGGAAAGGUUUUAAGAUUAGUUCAUUUUUGGAAUAGACAUCCAAGAACUGUAAUUUACUGAUUUGAACGUACGUCCACCCGGUCUGUCCUUGCUGACCAUUCUUGUCAUCAAAGAAAGAAUGUGUUGAACCAUCGGUGACUGAUUGGGGACCCCUUUCCCUUCUAAUCUCUCUCCUUUUAUGUUGUUUCUUUUGCUAUUUCGCGUGUAGUGGGUAGCUAGGCGUAGAGAAAUAGAUGUGAUUCGGUAUUUUGUUUACGUUUAGUACUUGCAGCACCAGAAUGAGGGCAUUCUUCUGAAUUCAAGUGAAGCUCUAGCUUUAAGAGGUGCCCUCUGGUUGAUAGUAUGACUAUAAAAAGGCCCAUCCAAAUAUGUAAGCAACAAAAUCCAACCUGUACGUAACAUAGUACCACUGAAAAAUGAUACCUCAAACACAUAUCUAUAUCCGUAUCUAUAUGAAUCAUAGACUGAAUAUGGCUGGGGAUAAUAAAAUUCAAUAUACGACUCAAAACCUAAUACGUUUAUAUAACCUACUCUACAUGCAAGAUCAUCUACAACCGCAUUAUGUCCUGAGUGACAUUAAGGAGCCUGUCUCAUAUGCAAUCGUAUCCUUACGAGAUCUAAUAAAUCGUGCACUGACUUCUAUUCUUUGUAGAACGUGU